CUUUUUCAAGGUGCUUAGUAAAGAAUUUUUCGACUUGUUGAGCUGAAACAUCGCCUCUAUAGUCACGACUUAUGAGGCAUCUCCCUUUCAUAUCAAGAAGAAACAGCGCGGAGAUGGCACCCGCCAUUGAUCUCCACCUGAUUAUAACACAAAUCAAAAAAAAAAUAAUAAUAGAGAUACUACGUAAUAAAUUCAACACAAAAUAAUCAUGCAAAUGUUAUAUGAACAAAAAAGACAGAGUUAAUUUACGUAUAGAUUAAUUUUUAGUAAAAUGAAAAAGCUUAGAGAUCUGGUAAUUCAGUUUCAUUUGUGUAACGUUUUGAGAUGGAACCGGAUGAUAAAGCACGUGUUUUUAUACAACAUCACUAUAAAAAAAAUUUAUGUUAAUGAGAUCCAUCACCUAUAUAUGUUGUUGUACGUAAGUAAAUAAAUAUUAUUUGAAAAUAAAUAUGAUAGUGAUUUUUUACAUAAGUAUAAAAUACGACCAUAUAUGAUUUUAACAAGCUAACACUUUUUUUGUUUGUUUUAAUGUAUAUGAAAGGAUUGAAUUUGUUAAGAAAAAUAUAUACCAACUUAAAAUGAGAUAAGAAAAAACAAUAUUUAACUCUAAUAGAACUUAUAUAUUCUAAUUCGGAUUAAUGUAAUUGGUGGCAAACUGUUCUUUUAUGGCAAGUCUUUUAUUUUAGAUGUAUGUUUUUUCAAAAGUUAUUUAAUGCAAAUUUUAUAUAUAUAUAUAUUUUCAAAUUCAUUAAUCCAAAUUUUAAUGUUUUUUUUUCUGCUACGUCAAGAUGAGUAAAAGUGGUGUUGCCAUAUUAUAUAGUAAUAGUAAUAACGAUUCUCUGCAAAAAGUAUUAAAAAGUGUAGUCUGUUAGUGAUCCAAGAAUAUGUCAUAAAAUUCGACUUAUAAGUGACAUCAUUCACUAUUCCUACACAGUUUCAUACGUAAAAGGUAAAACUGUCAUUUGUAAACAAAUAAUUCUUCAACACUAAACCUAUAAAUAGUAAUUUUAACAGAAUAACAAUGAUCGGAAAAACAUAAAAUAAUAUGAUAAUUGAUGAUAAUAAUGUAUUUAAUUGUGAUAGACAUUAUCAAUAUUAAUGAAUGGAGAGGCAAGUUAUAGUGACUGACAUCUGAAUGAUUAAAUAAAAUUCGAUAUAUAUAUAUAUAUAUAUAUAUAUAAUAAAUACAAAUAAAUUUGAUCAUCAAGAUCAACAUUUAAAAAUUGAAUAAUCCACCACUAAUUUUAAUUUAAUAAACAUCACGCCCUUUAGAGUAUUUAUAAAAAGCACUCACUUAGCCAAAUGUUAACGUUAUUUUAUAUUUUAUAUCAUAUCAUAUAUAUGCACCACUAUUAUUUUCACUAUCUUUUUGGUGUUUCUCUCUUCCACUUUUAAUUUAUUCCCCUCCACUUUUGGUUUUAACUUUUAUAUUUUUUUGAAAAAAGAAGGGCUUAAAAAAAUCACUCCUAGUUAUAAAAGAAUUUACUCUUAAAAGAGUAAAUAACUAGCUAUAUAUAUAUUACAUAAAAUGUUUUUAUAAUCCCAUGUAACUUAGAUAGUUCAUUAAUUUUUGUGUUCCUUAUAAGCCUAGAUAGAUAUGGUUGACCUCUCCUUAUGAGUAGGAAAAGAAUAAUUGUUCUCAAGCCUGUCAAGAGCAGCUUUUAAGUCUCCAUUAUUCUGUGUAUGACUAGUAUUAAAUUUUUAAAAAAAUUGAUCAUAUAUAUUAUUAAUAUAUCUAGAUAAUGGUCACCAUUAACAACCAAGAAAAGAGUAACAAUAUUAGUACACUUUUAUUUAUCUAUUAUGUUAUAAAUAAUAGGUAUUCAUAUUUACAUGUUUAGCUUAGAAAUCAAGUGUUAAUUUACCUUUUUUUACUUAUCACCGUUAACGAUCAAGAAAUGAUUAAUAUUAUAGUCAUCUCUCAGUUUACUUUAACUUAUCUACUAUAUUAUAAAUGUUGAUGUUCAUUUUUACUUGUCUAGCUAAUUUAAAAAAUGAAGAGAUCAUUUAAUAUUUUGAGUUCAAUUUCCAACUAACGAGAUAACAUAUAAGGAUGAUACAUAUAGUAAAGUUAUUAUUCUAUUUAUUAUUAAAAAAUUUAUUAAAUUAAACAUAAACAAGUAACAUAAACAAGUAAAAUAGAACGAAAGAGUAUAAUAUUGGAUUUAAAAGAGUCCAUUGAAGAAUGAGUUGACCAUGCGCAUUGAUUAUGACCUACUAAUAGAGGUGGUAUAGAGUAUAAAGAUCAGUUAUCAUAUCAUAAUCCUAAAAUAUAUUGCUUUUAGACUACUAAUAGCACCCUUUAAUCAACAUAACAAAAUAUAUUUUUUAUUAAUUAGUUUUCCCUAUAUAAUACUCCAAAAAUAACAAAAAUAAAGAAGUGAACACAUGUACUCUAAUAGAUCCUUGGUGGGAAAAGUUUCUUUUCCAAUAAACUUAUAUUAUUGGACUGUGUCUAGCGAUCUUUUCUUUUAAAAAAAAAUUACGAAUAAGUACAAGUAAAGGGGGGCUAGGUUUUACCUUAUCAAUCCUAAUAAAAUGGAAAGGAAAACAUCUACACCAAAAGUGAUUUUUAGUGGUAGUUAAAAUAAUGACAAUAGCUUAAUUGUCGCUAAAUAUAAAUUUUUAGCUCCAAUUAGCACUUAUUAUAAAUGUCCCUAAAGCCUAUAUAUGACGACAUUGAAUCCAAUGACAAUUAAUUAAUGCCAGUAAAAAUUUUAGCACUCUUUGUUAAUGCGUAUAUUUAUUACUGCUAUAAGCUAUUUUCGUGUAUACACGCGACAUAAUUGUUUCAAUUCACCACAUUUUCAAUAUUUAAUGUGUCACACUUAAAACUUGAUGAAUUUGUGAUCUAAAAAUAAAUUUUGAAAUAUAGUUUUUCCUUAGAUAUAUAUAUCUAAGAAAUUCAACAAUUUAUAUAUACAAAAUCAAAAAAAAUGAUCUUUUACCUUAUAUGAACUCCCUUUGAUCUCUUUUAACUCUGCUAUUGUUUUCUAACCAAAUUUGUCAACAAUAACCUAGACAUUUGCCAAGAGCAAUAAUACAUAUUUUUUUCUAUUUAAGCAAAAGAGGAAAUGAAAGGGUAGAAGGUAAAAUUAAAUGGGGGAAACAAGGUCAUAGUCAUCUUUUGAUAUUAUUAUUAUUAAUAAUAAUAAUAAUAUUCGAAAGAGAGUCAUAGUCAUCUUUUUUAUCAUAAUGUUUUAUGUACCUCCCUACCAUUUAUUAUUAUUAUUAUAUUGUCUUUUUGUCUUUUGCCCUUCAUUCCUUCUCCAUCACUAAAUUAUGCUCUUUGCCUUCUUACCCUUUCUCUCUAUCAUCAACAACAACUUUUUCUAUAUUGGAUUUUGCUAAGUUUCUCUUCAUUGCAAUUAGGGUUUUUCCCUUUUGAGUUGGCUUCAAUUCAUCAAUAUCAAUACUAGUGGUAAACAACUCUUUUUUUUAUGUUACUACUUUUGUUAUAACAAAUUUUCUCAGAAAAAAAAAAGGUACUUCCCUUUUUUCAUUCUUCUUAUCAUAGAAUUAAACCUAGUUCACACAAAUAGGUAAAGUACUCACAAAUGUUUUAAUUCAAUUUAUAUUUGGUCUAUGUUAUUUAUUUAUUUUGAUUGCUAGAAUAUAUACUCUCUUUUUUUCUCUCAAAAGGUUUAGAUAAAGUUCAUUAAAUACUUUACUAUAUACAUGUCAUAUUUAGUUCUUGAUCUAGGGUUUACUUGUUUUUGUAUUUACAUAUACAAAAUGUAUCCCCAACUACUACAUUUUUCAGAUCUUACAAUAUGCUCACUUUACUUCUCAUUACUUAUAACUCAAUUCAAACAAAUCUAACCAGAGUUUGCUUAUAUGAGUUGAUUUCUGAUCGCUCGAUCAAUAAUUAUUAUUUUAAAUUUUAGUUAUGUUUUUUGUUGAAAACUAUGAUCAACUUAAUAUCUGUUAGAUGAGUGACAAUUUUAGAAAUCAACCUGAUCAUUCUAGUGUUUGUGCAAAAGUUGCAGGAUGGUAUAGAUAAGACAAAUUCUUGAUACUUGUAAAAUUGAAGAAAGCAUGCAAAGUCCCUUCUUAGCCAUUAAAAAGGAAAAUAAGUCAGAACAAAAAAGAAGAUUAAGAAUUAUUUUUUCAUCAGAAAUAUUUAGAAUUUAAUCUUGAAAAUUAUCGUUUUAUAUAUUAUCAAACAUACUUUUAUCUAUGUGAUUAUAUUUCAUAAAACAAUUAAUUUACUCAAGGUAUUUUCUACUCCUUUUUUUGUGUGUGAUUUAAUUACCAUAAUAAUUAAAAGAUAUCCUCUUCUCAAUUCUUUUCUAAAUCAUUUUUAUUAUCCAACAUGCUUUUAUCUAAGUGAUUUCAUAAAAUAAUUAAUUUACUCAAGGUAUUUUCUCCUCCUUUUUUUUUGUGAUUUAAUUACCAGAAAGAUAUUUUCUUUUCUAAAUCAUUUUUUUUAUCAUCCAACAUGCUUUUAUCUAAGUGAUUUCAUAAAAUAAUUGAUUUACUCAAGGUAUUUUGUCCUCUCUUUUUUUUUUUGUGGUUUAAUUACCAGAAAGAUAUUUUCUUUUCUAAAUCAUUUUUUUUAUCAUCCAACAUGCUUUUAUCUAAGUGAUUUCAUAAAAUAAUUGAUUUACUCAAGGUAUUUUGUCCUCUUUUUUUUUUGUGGUUUAAUUACCAGAAAGAUAUUUUCUUUUCUACAUCAUUUUUAUUAUCCAACAUGCUUUUAUCUUAGGUCAUUUCAUAAAACAAUUAAUUUUCUCAAGGUUGUGAUCUACUCUUUUGAUUCAAAAUUUAAAAUAUAUUUUCUCCUCAUGAUUUCUUUUCUAAAUCUUAAAUGUGUAGUACAAGAUUUUAUUUAUUUUUGUUACACAAAGAAUUCCAAGAAAAUAUAUACACAUGAGUUGUAGAAAAAUUCAUGACAUAAAAAAUUCAUCUAUAUUAAAAGAAAAAGAGAUUAAAUGAAAUUAAUUUACUUGUUUUAUUUGCAGCUUAUAUAUAUAUAUGGCAUCAUCAAGCUGCUACAAUUCCCCUUGUGCUGCUUGCAAAUUCCUCAGAAGAAAAUGUCUUCCUGGCUGUAUUUUUGCACCUCAUUUCCCCCCUGAGGAGCCACACAAAUUUGCAAAUGUUCACAAAAUAUUUGGUGCUAGUAAUGUUACAAAGCUUUUGAACGAAGUCCUCCCUCAUCAGAGGGAGGACGCGGUCAACACUCUGGCCUACGAAGCUGAGGCCAGAGUGAGAGACCCCGUCUAUGGUUGUGUUAGUGCAAUAACAUUCCUCCAACGCCAAGUCGAGCGCCUUGAGAAGGAGCUCGACUCGGCUAAAGCGGAUUUAAUGCGCUAUGCUUCAAAUGAUAUGUCACAACCAUUAAUUGGAACUCAUCAUCAUGAAGGAGAAAAUAUUGGAUCAACACUUCAUAAUAUGGCAAUGAGUAGAAGAAUGGGGUAUGAUCAUCAUGGAGGAGGAAGUUAUUUUCCAUGGAAUGAUCAAAACAACUCAGGAGGAGGAGGAGGAAAUAUUUGAACACCUAAUUAUUUUUCCAUAAUGGAAAAAAAACAAGUUGUGUUGUGUGCUAUUUAUAAGUAUAAUAUGUGUCUACUAGUGUGUGCUAUAUGGUAUUCUAGCUAGUUCACAUGCAAAUUACUAGCCAGACCAUAAAUUUGGUUGUUUUUUUAUUAUUAUAGACUUUUUAGUAGUUUUGAGCUACUAAAAAAAAGUCAUUGUCUAAGUAUUUUAUGGCUAUAUAUUGUGUCAUAUUCAGAGAGUAGUAAAAAAAAAUGUCUGAGUGAUUGUGAAGUGUCCUAUUUUGUGGGAUUUGUUUAUGGUUUUACUAUAAUAAAUAAAUAAAUUAUUUGAUCUGUUCAUUGUAAAAGGACAUUCUAUACCUUACUAGCUAGGUAAUUAGUCAUCUCUUUAUUAGAUAUAUUUAUAUAUAGUUAUUAUAUACUUUCUUUUUUAUGUUAUAGGUUUCAGCUUUAGUUAUAUAUAUAUAUAUAUGGACCACCUUUUUUUAAAUCUAAUAAUGUGAAAAUUAAAGCUGCUAAGCUAGCUAGUUUCAAAGGGAAGUCUAAAGAAGUGAAAUAUAUGCCUUAGUGAUUAAUUCUCAUCAAAUGUAUUACUUAUAUAUACAUUCUUUGUCAAAUAUAAUAACCAUGAACCAAUGCAAAUUGAUGAGUUGGGGGAAGAGAAUAACUCUAGCUCUAAGUUAAAUACACUUAAAAAGAAAGCAAUUAUUUAACAACAAUAGUUUAAAUGUGAUUAAAUAUAUAUUUUUAUAGGCAAUAUAAUUACUUCUUUAGUCUAUAAUUGUUUAUCAAGGUGUAUAAUUUGACUAAUAUAACUUUACAACACCAAGAAUAUUAAAAGUCUACAGAACUUUUUAAUUGAACAAAAUGUAGUUAUUAUUAAGGGAAAAAAUGAAGAAAAAAAACAACUAAUUAUUUAUUGAUUGUUUAAAUUGACAAUUAAUCUUGGAUAUAUAAUUUUAGUAUACCUGUCAAACAUUUGUGGACAGAAGGAGUAGCAUUUUUUGUAAAUGUUUGUAAAGUCUACAAAGCGAUAUUAAAUCCAAUUAUGACUAUCAACUAAUGUCCGUAAAAGAUUUCGUACUUUUUAUUUAUAUGUAAUAUUUAUUUAUUAUUAAAAAUUAUUUUUGUCGGAGUAAUAUAUGUAUGGUUUGUGAAUCACUAGGGUAAAAUUCACUUGUUCAACCUCAGGAAAGUCAGAUUUUUGCUUUCACACAUUGCUUAUAAUUAUGUUCAUUUUUCAACAUUUUUAGAGCUUUUAAAUCACUAUUUGGCCCCAAUACAAACUUAAUUUCCUAAUGCUUCCUGGAUACAUAUAUUAUAUAACGUAUUCUACUCUCAUUUAAGAUUUUUGUGACAAUCGAAUUUAGAAUUUAUAUAACAUGUAAAGAGAAAAAUAUAUACUAAGUGAAAAUUGAUUCCUAAUCUUCUACUCUUUAAGUGAACAACUCAACAUUUAUUUUUCUUUCUAAUAGUGUUAGUGUUCGGUAUUAUAUACAUAAAAUAUCUAAUUUUAUGCCGAAAUCAGGAUUCAUAUUCCCCAUUUUUAGGCUAUAAAUUCGCCAUGGGCACGUAUAUGUUGAAUUAUUAUGUGCAUGUUGGUGCCUAAAAAUUCUUAGAUAACACUAAUUGAUAUUCCUAACAUCUCCUCUCCCACCACCCCUUUUUUAUGGGUCAAGUUUGUAGAAAUUCUUUUUGAUAAUAGAUGACGAUAAGAAGCCAAACCAAAAUCUAUGUUUAUUGCAAUAUCAUAUUAAAAUUGCGAUAUCAUAUUAAAGUGUAUAAUUAUCAUCUGAGAGAUAAUGCACAAGUACUUCCUCAAUCUAUGUUCGAAAUCUCAGAGACACACUUAUACUAUACUAAGGUCCUAUUAUCCCUUGAACUUAUUUUAUUAAUAAUUUUCCAUCCCUUUUUGGCCUACGUGGCACUAUCUUGUGGGUCUAACGCUGGUUGACUUUUUUCUUCAAGCUAGUGCCACAUAGACCGAAAAGAGAUAUAAAAUUACCUAUAAAAUAAAUUCAGGGGUAAUAAAACUUUAGUAUAAUAUAAGAGUAUCUCUAAAAUUUCGAACAUAAGUUGAGAGGUACUUGUGCAUUUUCCCUAUUAUCUGAAAACAAAUAUUUAUUUACUUUAUCUCGUGCAUCUUCAACGAAAAGCAUGAUAGUAAUAAUUAAUAGUACAAAUUUGGUGUGUGUAUAGAUAUACAUACACAUGCAUGUUCUCUUGAUAAAAAUCCGUGUUGCUGCUGUACUUGUAUAUAUCAGUAUAAAGAUAUAUUAUUUUUUAUUUUAAUUUAUUUGUUUUAUUUUAUUUCUCUAAUUAAUUUUUAAAAAAUUAAUUUUUAUGAAAUUCUUUACUUUCAAUUUUUUCAUAUGACAUUCUUAAGAUAAUAAAAUUAAAGAUCAUUUUGAUAUAUUUUGGUGUAUCUAUAAUUUAUAAUCAUAGGAUUCAAACACUGGUAAGUUAAAAUAGAACAAACAAAUUGAAAUAAAUUGAACAAUAUUAUAUAGGAGUACUUACUAUCUCAGGUUAUAUAAAUUAUUUUCUUUUUAGUCAGUUCCAAAAAUAAUGACAUAUUUCUAGAUUAGUUGAUCAUGUUACUAUAGUUAUCUCAUAUCCUCUCCGUCCACUUUUAGUUGUUAUGAUUUCUAUUUUUAGAUUCAAAUAAUAAGAACUUUGACUAAUAUUUUAGAUGUAUUUCUUUAUCAGGUAUGCGAAAAAUUGUAAUAGUACUUUUCAUAUAGUUUUUGAAUACUUAAAUUUUUGGUUUCAAAUAUUGAAUUAAUGUAAUCUAAUUUAACUUUAAAAAUUAGUCGAAUUCACUUUUGAAAAGCGCAAUAUGACAAAUAAAAGUGGACGGUAUGAGUAUUAAUUACUCCCUCCGUCCAUAAUUGUUUGUCAUGUUAAGGUCAUGCACAUCCCUCAAGAAAAAUUUAAUACAAUGUGUGAUUUGACUAAUGUUACCCUAUCAAUAACAUCAAAAGUCUACCUAAUUUUCCAAUUGAACUACAUUAUCAUUAAGGGCAAAUUUGAAAAAAGUUACUGAUUGUUUCUUGAUUAUUUAAAUUGUCAAUUAAUCUUGAACAUCUAUUUUUAGUAUACAUGUCAAACAAUUUUGAACGGAGGGAGUAUCUAUCUUAUUAAAUCAAGAAGUUAUUAAAUGUAUUACAAAUUGUUUGUAAAAUUUCCAAGUAGUUUUUUUAAGAAGUAAAUUAGUAAAAUUAUCUUCUUAUUUAUGAUUUCUUAAUAUGCUUGUAAAAAUGAAAAACAAUCAACUAAUAUUGAAACAGAGGAAAUAAUAAUUUAACUUUAAAAUAUUUAUUUAUAGUUACACAAACAUUUAUAACGUAUUUUAUAUUACAAUUUUUUAAAGAAAAUAAUUUUUCUUUAAAAAAAUUAUUUUUUAUUAAGUCAAACUAUAUUACAUAAAUUGCUACGGAUAAUAUUUUCUCUUCAUCUAGCUGUUGUUGUCGGAGAUGAGAAGCUACUCUUUUUCUUUGUAUUCUCAGAAUUAAAAUCAGGGGUAGUUGAAUCAACUCUGUCAGGUUCAACAUCAUCAAAAGAAUCAACUUUGGAUUUUCAGUACUCAUAUAAUUAUUUGCACUCGUGUGUCCUAUUUAUUUUUUUUAAAAAAAAAUCUUAUUUUUCCACUUCAAAAAAAAAAUUAAAUAAAUUCAUGACUUAAUAUAUUACUCCAUAUAUUCAUUCAUAUAUUUGAUUUUAGAAAAAAAAUUAAAUUAGAUUGAAAUAUGAUUAUAUAUAAAAGUAGCAUAGGCACUAUGAGUCUAAGUGAAAUUGAUCAGUACCAUAAGUGGAACUCCAAUUUUCAAACAAAAGUGUCUGUGAAGUGUGGUCCUGCAAAGCUAUAAUUUUAGACAAAAAUAUUUAAAGUUUGAUCUUUGUUAUAAGGUCAUACUCUCAGUCAAAUAUGUCUGAAAUUGGUAAAACUAAAGUCACAUUUUUUUUCAGUAAAAAGAGAGUCCAAAAUUGACAUUAGCAAGUCAUAUAUGUAUAAAGCCUUGCAAAGGCCAGGUCUUUUAGUAAAAAGUGUUUAAUGUUUGAUCGUGACAAGUCCUUAUGUAUCUUAAGUUUUGCCGAGGUUAAAAUUUUAGUAAAGUAAAUCUGAAAUUGAUCUUAUCGACCUUCACAAGUUCAAAUACAGAACAGACAAAAAUUUCUAAAGUACUAAGUCUGAAGUUAUUUCCGAAGCAAUGAACUUGCAAAAUUAAAUUAUAAUUUUGCUAGAACAUAAGACGCGUACAUAUACCUAAACUUCAAGUCAAUCUUUUGCAUCUAACUUGAAAGGAAAUUAUGUAACAAGGCAAUGAAAAAUAAUAAUAGUUUAAAUAAAAAAUCAUUUUAUGUUGUUUUCAUAGCAAAUUUUCUCCCGUGCCUCUCCUCCUUCUCUCUCGCCUCCCUCCUCCCUCAUGCCAAUAAGAGGGAAUCCAUACAACAGUAUUAUGUAGGAAUUGUAUUUCAUCAAAUAUAGGUUAGUUAUACUCGAAAAUUUUAUAUUUUGUAUCAAUAGUAUUGCAUUCAUAUGAAUACAAUAUACAUUCAUUCUUGGCUAAAGUCAUAUGCAGUCCCUUAAAGUUGUCCGCAUAAUUCACUUAGACACCUCAAUUAGGACUUGUACCUAUUGGACACGUCUACUAAUUCAGAUUUGAACCUUUUGAAUACUUUUGUGACAAUCAGCUAAAACUAUGAAAUGUGUGUUAUACACUCGCGAUGAUGUGGAAAAUGGACAAAUCAAUUACGUACAUGUGGCAUUUUGAUGGGGAAAAAAAAAGAAAAAAAAUUGAAGUGUUGUCAUCACUUUGAAAUUCUAUUCUUUACCAUUGUCCCCUCCUCCACCAUAGUUGUCCAUCACCUUGAAAUCCUCUUAACCCAGUAUUAUGUUUUCAGAUCUGUUUCUUUUUUUUUUAAGUUGAAAAUAGCAAAUUGCAUAUACAUGAAAAUUAGUAAUACAUGAACCUACAAAAUAUGAACUAUUAUAAUUUUAGAUAUCAAUAAAAUCAUUGACUAUAUAAUCAUCUAAGCAGAUUCAUUUUUUUAUUUUAAAUCUAAUUUAUUAGAUAUAUUUUCGAUAAGAAAAAAAUGGAAGAAGAAAUAGAAAUGUCAUUGUAUGAGUCUAUAUUUUUUCCUGUAAAUAAGAUCACAAUAUCGAACAAAUUUAAAGAAAAUGGAGAAGAAAAUCGUAAUGGUGUUUCCAUAGUUGAAUAUGAUAGAGGUGAGGGGGAGGGAGAAAGAGGAGGCAGGAGAAAAGAAAAGGGUGAAAGGUGUUGGUGGCAACAUCAUCGGCGGAGAUGGUAUUGGUUUUGAAAGAAAUGGCUAAGGAAGAAGGAAGAAGAAAGAAGGAAGGAGAAAGAGAUUUAAAAAAAAAUAAUCAAAAAUACGUUUUGACGCGUUGAAUGGAUGUGUAUUACACUUUUCUUGCCAUGUCAGCGAAAAGUGUCAAAUAGGUAUUUAUUCUGAACAAUAGAAGUGUUCAAUAGGUAUCAGUCCUAGUUGAGGUGUCUAAGUGAAUUAUGCGCCAACUUUAAGGGGUCGCAUAUGACUUUAGGCUUCAUUUUUUCUAUCAAAUGCAUUAUGUAUAUCUAAUCAAAAAGAGGAUGAAUAUAAUUGUAUUUGUUGCAUUUCAAAUACAAUUGACACAGAACACAAAACAAUUAUUCAUUACAAAAUAAAUACAAAAUGCAAUCCUCUCUCCACCCUCUCUCGAUCUCGCUCGCCCAUUUCCUCCUAAUAUAUUCAUUUUGAUACAAACGCGUAGCAAAAUCAAAGUGUAACUAUGAAUUAUAAUAGUGAAAUUAUAUCUAAAGAAUCCUAUUUAACGCUUAAUAUUUGCUAUUUUUUAAAAGUUUCCCCCUUUUUAACUUAACCAGGGCACGUACACGUACACAUAUAUCUCAUUCUUCAAAUUUUAAUAAUCUAACACAUGAUUCAACCCUUAUGUGGGGAAUACACAUAUAGAGGAUGGAUGGAACAUCAAAAACAUCCAACAAAAUAGAAACAAAAGAAUUAGUCACUUCUAUACUCAAAUUUUCUGAUCGAUCGAUUUAAUAAUUAAUCCAUAAAGAUACAAAGAAACAUAUAUCAUAAUUUUUGGUAGGGGGGACCAACUUAAAUGUUCACUGUAAAUUUGAAAUCUGUCAUAUUUAAUUACUAUAUACCAUAUAAAAUUCACCUGCCCUAUUGCUUCUUUUCCACGUCUAACUUUAUGUAAGACAACAGAAACAAAGAAUGAUUGAUCGAUGUGUGCUUCAUAUAUUAUUUUAUGUACAAUGUUCACAUUAUUUCUUUCCAAAUACUACUUGCAUUUUGUCUUUCAUUCAUACACUGAAAAUAUUGGGGCCUAACAGCGUACAAAUCUAUCAUUUUGAUAUCGUCAUUUAAGUUGUAAUCGAAGUUGAAAUUAUUUGAAAAGGUCACUUAAAUAAUUCUACAUACUUGAGUGCUCUAUAGGUUGGUCGUGAGUUAUACUUUUUGAAAAAAUAACGAGUAUACAAGUUAAAUGGGGUUUGACAAUACAACUAAUCACAUGUACGACUCUUUUAGAUUUGGAUGGAUUAAUGAUACAUAUGUUAAUGCAUUUUGACUCGUUCAAUACAAUCCAUCUACAAAUUAUGUUGAUCUGUUCAAAAUAUAUAAUCCGAAAUGAGUAUUGAUUUAUAAAAAUCAUGUUAAAGUAUUUUUCAUUUUUCUCAUUUGAUAUAUUUUGUACAACUAUAUAUAAGCUAUAACAAAGAGAGAGAAAAUUAUUACGUAAUUAAAAAAAUUAUAACAAAUCAAUAAAGAAAAAACCCUAGCUAGCUAUACAUAAAGUCAGAUAGUUAUAGUGCACUUAAUAUGAAUGAAGUUGAAUAAAAGGUUUGUAAGAUUGAUGUGAUGGACAUAGAAAUAAGGCAACCAAUUAGAGUUCUCAAAAUUUCAAUAAUAUUUUUACAUAAAAAAAAUUCAAAAUAUAACGAAAUUAAAAUCUGGCAAGAGUUCAGUAUAUAGAUUAAUUCUGAUCCAAUAUUUAACCAUCUUGACCCUAAUUAUUUCAUAGAAAUAGCACAAGCUAAUUACAUUUUAAUUUUAUAAUUGAAAAAGAGUAAUUCAAUAGAUAAUAAGAGGUGUGACUAUUCCAUAACAAUAUCGUUGACUUUCAGUUGUGAAAUUUAAAACCUCAUGAUAGUGAUUUUAGUUUUCAACUUAAAUCAAAAAUUUUGAAACGUAUUUUAAUCGUAUAAUAAAUUUGAUUUGACUAUUUCAAUUAAUUGGUUAAACAUAAAAAUCAAAAUUAAACAAAUUUUAAUUAGUUGACAGUUGUGAGAAAAAAGAAGAAUUGCUAAGCUAGCGUUUGACCAUAGAUAUUCAAAUUUUUUUGGGAAAUAUUAUCUGGAUGAAAAUUUGGGUGAAAUUUUACCAUGUGUUUGGUCAUAGAAUUUGAGAAACAUAUUUCAUUUUCUUAAGAAAUAUGAUUUAUACCCAUAAGUUUUUAAAACUAUCAAACUAACCAUAAAUUUGUAUUACAUAGCACAAUAGAAAUCUCACGUAACAAGAUUUAUGACUUCCGCAACAAAUCAACAAGAAUCAUUACAGUAAAUAUUCGUAUAGUGAAAAGGUCUUGGUACAAAUCAUGAUAAUGAAAAUACAACUAAUAUAAAUUAGGGGGCAAAAAAGAGAAGAAAACAAAAGGAAAUAAAUAUUGCAAUCUCUGAAGAACUAUGCUUUCUCAUCUGAAAGAGUUCAACCUAUUUUUUAAUAUAAUCUUCCCACAUUUUAUGAACAAUCUCUUCUCGAUGAGCAUGCAUUUCCGAAUCAGAUGAUAGAAAAGAUGAAGCGAUGUUGCUACCCUGAGCCAAUAGUUCGUCACUUUCAUCAACAACCAAAUCAUCAUGUUCAUAUUCAUUGAAUAUCCCAUCACUACUUUGGUGUUCACGUAAAAAGUUAUUGGUUGGUGUUAAUAAAUAUAUUAUUUUUGUAAAAUAAAAAGUUAAGGGUAAAAAUUGAAUUUCUAAAACUUUCCAAAUAAUGAAAUUUGGCCAAAAUACUAGUUUUUUCUAGUAUUUGGGAAUUUGAAAAAUUUGCCAAAAAAAUUUGCCAAAUAAUAAAAAAGUGUAUGGACAAACAAAAUUUACCAAAUUUUUUCCCAAGUUUUACUUGCAAAAUUUGUGGCCAAACGGGCCUAAAUGUAUAUUUCAGGUCCACAACCUUUCACUUAUAUGAUAGUGAUGCACAUGUGAGAGCUACAAAAACUAGCUUCUAGAUCUCCUCAUAAAAAAUCAAAAACCAAAUCAUACUUGUAACCCUCGUACAAAUGCACAGUUUAAAUACAUUUUAUCGAAAUUAAUUUUUAAUAACAAUUAAUUAAUAGUAAUCGCUUGAUUGCUAUUAAUUUUAAUUUUUUUUCACUAAAGUUUAUAUCAACAUCGAGUGCAAUGUCAAUACAAAAGAUCAACUCUUUUUAUUAAUAUACUCAUUUUGUUAUAGUGAUAGAAUGAAUCGAUUAGUUCCUUGCAUUUUUAUUUUGAGUUUCAUACCACGUAUACUAAUGGUAUAGUACUUUUCUUUUUUAAUUUUACUACUAAAUUAUUCUUUUUGGACCUAAGUAUAAAAUUAAAAUUUGGGUUCACCAAUUUGUGACUCGCGAGAUAAAAAUAAGUCUCACGCGAUUAUCUAUAUAGAUCGUGGUGUAUUAAUGAGAGUAUUUUAUUUUUAAUUAGAGGUUUCAAGUUUGAAACCUGAAUACGAAGAGAAGUUUAUUAAGAGCUUUAUUUUAAGUGAAUUCUGCAAUACAUAAUUCGAAUUUACUUAAACUCUUGAUAUAAACUCCAAAUAUCUCAAAAAAAAAAAAAGUCUAACGUCAUUAAUAUCAGUUUAAGUUGAAGUAAAAGUGUAAAAUAAAAGACAAAUGAACAAAAGUUAAAUCUAUUAAUUUUAUUUAAGUUGUCCACAAGUUAAUUCAGAGAGACAGAGACUAAGGAGCCGCCUAAAUUCCUUUUUUCAAAAAAAAAAUAAUAAUUUGGUGUCAGACACCUACUAGCUUUGGAACCUCUCUUUGCAUUACGUAAAAUUAGUUUGGAUGGUUUGGUAGAAUUUAUUAAAAUAUUAAGGUCGUUUAAUUGAAAAUGAAUUAUUUUUGAAUUAAUUAUUUGAAGAUAACGUAUCAUAUUAUUACGAUAUAAAUAAUAGAAUUAGCUAUUUCAAACAUAGAAUCAAACAAUAUAUCAAAAUUUAUCUUUUAGAUGAUUUUUAUCCAAGAUUAUUCAUUUUUACCCGUCAUACCAAACAAACUCUAAUGUAUUUAUUACUGACUUACUACUCAUUAGUUAUUAUACACUAUAUUUAGUGAUAAUACAUGAACUAUUAAUAAUGGACAGAGAUAAAAAAAAAAAAAGAGUAGUUCCUAGUAAUACACCAAAUUAAAUAUCGAAUAUAAAAUAUUCUAUAUAUCAUAAUUAAUUCGAGUAUAACUUAUAUCAAUAUUAUUGGUAUAUCGAGUAUAACUUGUCUCAACAUUAUUAAUGUAUCAAUAAGAAUAUAUUUUCAUACGCUCUAUUAAAUGAUCACAUAAAAAUAAAUUAUUUUUUACUUGGUAUAAUUUGAAACAUUUAAAUUCAAAACUUCUUUACAGCUGAAAGUAGUAGAAAAAGAGAAAAGUGGGAACAUGAAAAAAGUAUACAUCCAAAGAUGACUGACUAUUUUGAGUGACACAGUUCACAGGCUAGUUAUAUGACUAUCUAUAUUUAUUCACUUUCUCCAUCUUAGUGUAAAAAAUUUGUUGAAGUCACAAAGUGAUGAUCAAAUUUCUUUUCUUGGACCUUUCACUUGAUAAGCCUAUUAUUAGGUUACCUAUACUCCUAACUCAUGCCUGCAUGUUCCCUCUAGCACUAGAGAGGCUCUGAUUCCUAUACACACAAGAAUCUCCCUAUACCCACAAAUAAUCAUGCAAAGGAUAGCCUUUUCAAAUUAUUUUCACUCAUUCAUAAUUAAAUAACGUGUACGAAGACAGUUUCUCUACCUCCAUGAGGUAGAAGCAAGGCCUACGUAUAUUCUACUCUUCUCAAACUCUGCUUGAGAAAUUUUGACUGAAAUUAUUGGUAUUGUUGUUGUUGCAUCGCAAGAAUUGGCUAUUUACGAUAAAAAGGGCUAUAAUAUAAAUGACUUUGGGCUGUAAUUGAAAUGUCUAAAUAUUGGUGAUUAAUGAAAUAACUUACUUACACUCACCUUGGUUAAUUGAUAAUUGUGUGUACGACACGUAUCAUGUAUUUAUUGAUUUUGUGUAAACACCGGAUAGGCGGAUUCAAAUACUUCUCUACCUUUACAACUAUUGAGAGUGUUUGUGAAUGGUGCCUUUUUCAUGGGCCCCCAAGCCCAUCAAAGAGGGGAAAAGGCCUACUUUGGGCUGAACCAAUCCAAGUCACUAAACUGAAGGCAUGAUAAUGUGCAACCUUAAUGAAAAAUAUAUUUUCUUUCUCAAAUUAGAAUUGAGUUAUGAAUUUUUGAGCUGUACUAUACUCAUCAAUAAGUGCUAUAUUUGAUUCUUGUUGGUAAUGAUCAUGGUAUUCUUUUUUCAAAGUGUAUCAAGUUUGAUUGCUUCACCUCUCAUAUCGUAUCGUCACUUGAAUUCGUCAUCAGGUCUUUGAUUGACUCACCCCCUUGUAUUGUUUGUUCUUUCUAAUCGUCAUUUGAACGUUAUCAUCAAGUAAGAUUGACUCACCCCUCGUAUCGUUUCAUUCUUGAAUGUCGUCAUCAAGUCUGAUUGACUCGCUCCUCAUACUUUUUUAUCGCCUCCCCAUUUAGCAAUGAAGGUAGGAGCUCACCUAUUGUAAGAUCAACAAAAUUACUCACAAGAGGAGCAACCCUAGCUUUCUUGCAAGGUUUAGUAAAGAAGAAAAAUGCACUCAAAUCACAUAGUUCUUAUAACAACUUGACUAAAAGAAAAGAUGAACUUAUAAAAAAAAAAUGAUUGACCAAUGUAAGGAAUUUCAUUAAUUUUUUUUUAUCACCAUCAACCAUACUUGUUCCACAUAUCAACAUAAAAUCUCAAAGGCUUAGGCAAAGAAAUCCUCCAUUUCUCCAAAUCAGGUAAUCCACCAACAAUGGCAACACUGCUAUCUUCUUGCUUUCUAUUUCCAAGAUUCAAUACAAAUACUUCACCUUCAAAAACCUUAUUCAUUGCCAUUAGUGUCUCUUCCAUUAUCACUUUCCCAUCUUUUCUACUGUCUUCUGGUUCUACACACCUCCCUCCAACAUUCACCAUUAUCUUUCCUCCUUUUUUCAGUUUCCCUUUCAAUUUCUCCCAUGUUUGUGGGUUCUGAAGCUCAGGUAUCAAACACCCUUUACUAAACAAAUCAACUAUUAGACCAGAAUACCCAUCUUUCACACUGGCAUUCAGUGCAUUGCUGAUAUAGAUGAAAAGACGAUCUGGGUAUUGUUUUUCAACUUUCGAAAGCCCUAAAUAUUCUCUUCCGACGGAGAUUACAGAUGGGUCUAGCUCGUAUCCAUGGAUAACACCUUGUGGGUAUAAUUCCAGAAUCAAUUUCGCAGCUGACCCGGCUCCGAACCCGAGAAUUCCUAAUGGCCCAGGUGGUAGAAUUGGGGGAAGAGUUGCUAGAACGUCGUAAUAGGCGUUGGUGAUUGAUUUGAAGAGGAAUGAUAUGCUGUGGAUGUUACCAGGUGCGUCGAGAAGAAGAAGACGGGAACCAGCUAACGGGUGGUCGGCUCUUCUAGAAACUUCUAGAACCCGGAUGUAGUUGUGCCUGGACUUGAAUUUGACUAGGGUUUUGAUAUGUUCCAUGGGGAUUCCAUCAUCUUGUUCUUGUUGCUGUUGUUUUGUGGGAGUGAUGUAUUUGUGAUUUGAAGCUUGGAUUGGGUGGAAUUUGAGAGAUAUGGGGUUUUGAGGCUUGUGGCGGAUUUUGAAGAUUGUCGGUAGGGAAGAAGGAAGGAGAUGACAGUGAAAUGAGGGUUGGAUUUGGAUGGAGCUUUUGAAGUUUUGUGCUGCCAUGGUCAUCUCCUCCCUUAAAUGUUGAAGUGUUUGCACAAAGAGAACAUGAGGAGAGGCAGGUUAUAGGCUUAUAGCACAAGCAGAUUUUACAUUUUGGAAUUUUGGCAGUCGGUUUUCUUCACAAAACGUUUUGACAAGAUAAAAUAUAUGCAACUUUACUCCUAUCUAACCACCACUUUAUAAACCUCAGUUUUAAACCUUCAAAACACACCUAAUUGCACAUAAGCAAGCCCCAAUGCCCCCACCCCAACCAGAGCAACAUCAUCGCUAAUCACCUGGAAUUAGUUGCAAAGAAUACAUAAUUAAGAUACUUAUAGCGACUAAAUGAUAAGUACUUGGAAGCCUAAUCAGCAAUCAGCGCCCUCCAUUUAAGGAACCAAAAAGAUGAACAAUAAUCUUGUUCAAAGAAGAAAUGAAACAACCACUGUCUCAAAAGUACAUGGAUAAAUCCACAGAACUGCACAGAUAACUCUUGCAGAACACUGAUAAUAUUUGUAUGUAAUAAGCAGUAUCCAUAAGAACAAAGUCUACUUUGUGGUGCACCGGUCCAUUUACGAGAGACAGCAUUGUGCUCUCAUUCAUCAAUCACUAGCCUAUAUCCAACUAACUACAAUCUACUAUAACAACUCAUUUUUCUAGUUCCAUUUUCAGCAAAAGAGACAUCAAAACAAUUGCUCAUGAGAGGCGAAAGGUCAAAUAGCAAGGCUUGUUACUUCCGACCCAAAAAUAGUAUCAGUCAUUGCAUUUUGAGACGAUGUAGAAGAGCUUUGAACUAGGGAUGAUCAUCAACCAUGUCAUCUGCAUUGGCUUGGUCGUCCACAUCCCUGCAUCACAAGCCAUAGCACUUUAAUCUAAAUAUUCUACUAGGCUGGUCCCACAACAGUCAUUUGCACAUUACAAGGUGCAAACCAGUAAGAUUUAAAAGUAACGACUUCCCAAAAUGUAAAGACACAAUCAGAUAUGCAGGCGUGCGUAGAAAACACACACAUAUAUUUGGAACUUCACAAAGGUACUCAAUGCAACUUGAGCCCAUACCUCAUGUCAGAUGAUUCCACUGGAGUAAGAUUACUAUCUGAACUUCGCUGUCUAGGUUUCUCGUCUUCAUCAGCAUCAGACUCAUAACCAUCACCAUUCCAUAUCCGUGGUUUAGGCCUUCGAUCCAUAUUUUCCUCUUUCUGCAAUCAGUAGUUCUAGUAUAAGAUGGGUCUUGACACUUGGGAACCGUUUGGUUGGAAACUAGUUAUCCCAGGAUUAACUAUCCUGGAUUAGUAAUCCUGUAAUAACUUAUCCACCAUGUAUAUGGGAUAACUUAUCCCAUCACUAUGCUAUAAAUGGUGGGAUAAGUUAUCCCAAACAUGUCGACCAAACGGGACAUCUAAAUUUUAUCCCAGGACUAUUUAUUCUUAUCCCUCCCACCAAACAAUUUAAUGUUCAAGGUGCCACUAACCUCCUCUGGGACUUCUGUUGUAGAAGGAGUGGUCUGAAAUGGCACACUAGGUGCAUGAGGCAACUGAGAGAUUUGCUCAAGCAAUAUGUUCCUGCAGCCACCAAGUAAUUAUGUCAGGUAAUGUCAAAAGAAUUGCCUUUCUCUAUAGAAGAAAAAAGGUAGAGGUAAACAAUUGUUUGAGUUCAGCAGUUGAGUGAAGAAGAAUGUGAGAAACUUAUGGAUAAGAGAGAAAAUGUAUGUCUCAGCAUAAUAUUUCAAAAAAAAUGUUUAAAGAGUAAAAUAGUUGCCCAUCAUUAACAAAAAAUAAACACAAUCAACCGAUACUCUUGCUGUCAUACUAGUAUAAUCUAGUUACAGACAGAACAACAGAAUUUGUCUCAUAUACACCCACUGAGGCAUCAAUUUUCUUUUUUGAUAACCGGGGAAGGGCAGCCGCUACCCUUUGGGUGCACAAAGGAUAAAACUUCGCUCCUAUGCAAUAUCUCGCAAACGACACAGGAGAAGUAACCCGCUAGCUCAGCCCAGAAGACGUUACCCCUGCUUUCGCUGGCAAGGGGUUUCGGACUUGAGACCUCCAUAUGGAAGUCCCAAGCCCAAACCACUAGGCCACCCUAAGGGUCCACUGAGGCAUCAAUUUGAUGGACCAGUAUCAGGGAUAAUCUACUAUCAACUCUAUCUUCUCCAUAUAAGGGAUAAUCUGAUGGCGAAAGCCCACAAACUACAGGAAGUAGAACAAUAGUUAAAUUACCUCAUCUUCUCCAGAUCCCUAGGUGAAUUUAGAUUCUCCAUGGGAAUUGGUUCAACAUGAAGAGUAUAAUCUGGGCCAAAAUAUUCAUAAUACUCGUUGUAAGGCAACUUGUUUUCAGGUUCUACCCCAACUGCAACUGCUGUCUGUAACAAAGAAAAACAGUUGAUACUUAGCACAUAUUCUAAACAAAUAGUAGCAAUAGUAGAGAAUCUGAAAUGAAGGCGCAAAGAAACAAGAGAGAGAGAGAGAGAGAGAGAGAGACCUCAUAGCACCAGCACCUAGCGACAUUUCUUAUAGUAUAACCUCCACCACCCAAUACCAUCAGAGGGACAUUGAAGGAUCUGAGGUACCUAAGGCAAGCGGCAUGGCCCUUGACAGACAAGUUGAAGCAACCCAACCUGUCUCCAGCCAGUGAAUCAGCCCCACAUUGAAGAACAACAGCCUCAGGUUGGUAGACCUCCAUGACUUUUUGUAUUGUGGGACGAAAUAGUCUACCAAAACUAUCGUCAUCCAUCCCAUCAUGCAAUGGGACAUUUAGGGCAUAGUACUUCCCCUGAUUUGCACCAAUGUCUUUGAUGUGCCCCGUACCAGGAAAGAAAUCCCCAAACUUAUGAAAAGAUACUGUCAUGACUCUAUCUGUGGUGAAAAAAGCCUCCUCAACACCAUCACCAUGGUGAAUAUCAAUGUCUAUGUACAAUACACGCUGCACAGAAACACUCAGCAUUUCAGAGGAAAAAUAAUUCAGAACAACCUCUAAUCAAGGCAAAACAAAAAGUAAAUCAAAAGAAAAGAUCCUGCAAAGCUAUAGUUUAUAAUUGUAUGCAACAGUGUUCAGCAGUUCACGCUACAAUUAUUCAGAUCCUAUUAUUAAUAUGCUUGAUAAGUAAAAAUUAACAAGUGAUCAAGAUCAACUAAGUUCCACUUCUAGAAAUCUUACAUAGUUGUACUUAACCUAGUAAGUAGUAGUAAAACAAGAGGAGUUCAUAAGAACUAUUGUGCACAUAAAGUUGGAAAUACAUUGCAGCUUGAGUUUGAACAUGUCAAUAUUUGUUUUGAUUUGCUAAUGCUUCCAUAGAGAUGGAACAGAUCUGUCCCAGCUACUACAAGGAUAACAGCAGGCAUCUCCAUAUUUCUCCAGCAUAAAUUUGGCAAAAUCAAAGUGAAGUUUAUUAGCAAGCUUCCAUACUUCAAUUACUCUUAAAGACAGUAACAUUUACCCCUUAACAUCAAACUUCUCUGAAGUUACACCAAACGCUACAAAUCUGAACCAGUCAAUCGACAAGGAUAUGAAUCAUGAGCAUCAUGCUUACCCUUAGUACACCUCACCCUCCUCAAAAUGGUUUUCCAGAAACUUAUACACAAGGGCUGGGCCACAUACCAUAUUCACACUGAAAUUUCUAUUACUGAAUUUAGACAAGCAAAAACAACAUACCCCGUGUAAUCCCACAAGUGUGUUCUAAGGAAGGUAGGGUAUACGCAGACCUUAAUCUUACCUCACAGAGGUAACUCAACAAAUGUAGACGAGUAAUAGAAAGUUAAAAGCACCUUUCCCUUAUUAACUACAUGAUGGUAUCAUCACUUCUAUUCCAUAGUUCAAGAAGUCGUCUAAUCCCUCUCCCACCUCCCGAAUAAGUAUCCUGUAGUUUCAUCUCAAUGAAACGUGGGAUAAACUCAUCCUAAAAUUAAUCCAGGAUUAGUUAUCCCUUGUCUCUCCUACCAAGGAGUCCUAAGAAAAUAAAUAUAGUGAAAGCAGAAUGAAAAAGGUAACUAUAGGAAUAAUAAGUAUAAUGUAGACUCAUGUUAAUCAUCAGAGUAUAAAUGAAGCAACAAAAUAGGUAGGCACAUAAGAAAGGAUAAUACAAUAAUCUAAAAACUAUUUCAUUUCUCAAUUAUUACCCAUUAAAGAAGUACUUAGUAAAAUACUUUCUAUCCAAAAAUUUCUUUUCAAAGAUUUUUUUAACAAUAUAUAUAUAUAUAUAUAUAUAACUACAUCUUUAUGAACAAGUGGUGCCCUAAUAUAAAUUGGGAGCGAAGCCUUAUGGUCGAGCAAGCCAUGGCAUGUACAUUGCUAUGAAACUAUUCAGGAUUUAAAGAAACAACGAAAAUGAAAAUAUUAGCGAGUAAGCAGUUUAUACCUUGUGGACUUUGAGGAGCUCAAGAAUACCAAGAACAAUAUCAUUCACAUAGCAAAAACCAGAAGCUUCACUUUUCUUUGCAUGGUGCAGACCACCAGCCCAGUUGAUCGUUAUAUCAGCAUCCUGCCGAUUAAGCUUAACCGCAGCCCCAAUAGAUCCACCAGCAGAAGCUUGACAAAACCCAAAAAGCCCAUCGAAAACAGGACAAUCCUCACCAACAUUAAACCGUUUGAGAUGACGUGAAUGUGUAUGGUCAUGAAGAGUCUCCGGUGAAACGGUAGCAAGGAAGUCAACAUAAUCCGGCGAGUGAAAACGUCGGAUAUCAUCCUCUCCCGCCGGAAAAGGACGACUGAUUUCCAUACGCCUGUGUAGGUAGUAGUUUACGAUGAGAUUGUGGGCCAUUCUGAUACGGUGCGGCUUCAUCGGAUGACCUUGGCCGUAGUAAUAAUCGCCGAUGGUUGGCUCAUAGAAGUAAGAGACACGACGCUUCCUAGCGUCGGUUCCGGUUGAUGGAAGCGAUGCGCCGCCGUCUACGGUGGAGGAGUCCAUUAGCCACUGAUUUUUGGGUUCGGAGUGAGAGUGAAAAUGAAAUUUGGGAUUUUUGCGAGAGACUCGGCAGUCUGUAUUGAGUCCAGGAAAAUGAAAAGAGAAAAUUACUCUCCUUUUAUAGAUCUAAAAAAAUUAGUCUUUUAACUUCUAACCCUCUUAAAAGAAAUUUAAAUAAUAGCCUAUCCUUAUAGCAAAUAUUAUAUUUCCAUUAAUAUCACGACGAUUAACAUGAAUCUACAUUUAAGGUAAAAAUUCAAGAUAUUUUAAUAAGUGAGACAUAAUGAAUUUGCCUAAUUAGCUAUAAUUUUUUUCUCACAUACUAUAUGUAUCGUGUAAUUAUUUAGAACUUAUGAUAAGUUAUAGAGUUCGACAUUAUUAAAUUGUUUUUUUCGAAAAAGAAAGAAAAAAAGUUAUGGUUUAUAAAUAGGAAGAGGAGAAGAGACGAAUUUUUUCAUGAGGGCAAUGGAAAUUGGGGAAUCGAACCCUCACAGACAACCUAAAGUUUCAAAUAAUUAAUCAAUCUUCGUGACUAAAUUCGAUCAUAAGAUUAAAUAACAAUAUUUCUUUUAUAAAAACAUAAGUUAUUUAACAUAAUUAUAACUUUCCUCAACAAAAAAUAAAAUAUAUUAUACUAUUUUUAUUUAUCGUAACGAAUUGAAAUAUCAUGAAUCUCUAGCUCGCCAAAUUAAAUUUGCUAAUAUGUGGCUAAUAAUUCAAACAUGAAACUCAAGUCACAUAUUAGGCCAUGAAGGAAAAGUUUCAAACCUAAUUCAAAAGUGGGCCUUUUAAGUUUUAGCAUCAAAUGAAUCGAAUUCAAUUUUUUUCCUAAUCAAUCUCAUUUUCUUUCAAACCAAACCAAACUUAAAAAUUCACAUACAUAAUUAGAUUAGUUAUAAACGAAGCAAAGAUUUAAAAUUUAUGAAUUUAAGAUUUUAAUUUAUUCAAAAAAAUUGGAUAUUAAAAUGUUAAUAUUGUAUAUAAUGGUAUUUGUGAUACAACUUACUUAUAAAACGUUUUACCAUUAGUAACGAUUUAUGAUUCGUUAAUUCUAUUCAUCUUCACUUUUAAAAAUUGGAUUUUAUAAUUAAGAUAAUGUCUACUCAUUAUUGUGAUAUACAUUUAUUCAAGUUUUGAAUUUUUUUCAAAAAGAAUGUUUUCUUUAGGUGAAUUAAUAGUUUAUUUCAGUCAAAAAUUUUAAAACAAUAUCAAAUAUUCAUGUAUACAAUUAAUACAACUAAGGAUGUGAAAGAUUAUAGAUUCACGAUUUUAAUCUAUUUGAGUAAUCAAAUUUUAGUUAAUAAUCUUACAAAUAUAAAGCUAAAAAGUGACAUGACAUGCUUUUUUUGGUCAAUUUUUUUAGUGUUUUUCCUUAUAUUAAAAUUAAAAAUGUUGCAUUAGAUUACUGAUAUAGUCAAUUUUCUUCUAUUUUUACUAUGUUGCCUUAAAUUGCCUUGGUAAAGUAUAUCAAUCAAUGUAAUGAAUAUUGAUAUUUAAAAGGUAUAUUCAUCAUUUUAUAAAUAAAUGCUAAAAUGUGAAAAAGUAUAAACAUAAAAAAAAUAAAAAUACUUAUUACAAUUACAUGUUUUAUAUUUAUUUUGGGGGGAAAAAUAUUAAAUAUUAUCUGAUACAAUUUCUAAUCGUUUAUGGGUAUUCCCGUGGGCUAAGAUUUUUCUAUUAAAAAGAUUAAAAUGCAAGGGAAUGAAUUAUUCUAUUUCCUUAUUAAUUUCUAUAUAAUAAUUAUUAGCCUAAAAUUUCUCUAAGAACUCACUAAAUUAAAAUAGGUGGAAUUAGGAAUUAUUAUUAUUUUGUAGGUAUAUUGUUUAAUUAAUAAAUUACUAUUUAUUGAUUUAAUAAGUGUUUAGGAUUCAAUGAAGAUUAAUUUUGAUUACAUUAAAAUUAUUGUAUCGUAUUAAUUUAUGUAUCAUAUUUAUUAAAUUUACAUAAAAAAAUAAAUUUAUUAUUCAUAAAGUACACUGAAUACAUCAAAAUUCUUCUAUCUUACUAAAUUAAGUAUCAUAUUUAUUAAAUUUAAAUGACAAAUAAAUUCAUUACACAUAAAACACAAUAUAUGCAGACAAUUCAUUGUAAUAUACUUUUUUGUUAAAUAAUUCAUUGUAAAAUAAAUUCAAGAAUUCAAUGAUUCAUUGUAUAAGUAAAUGUAAUUAAUGUUUAUUAUUUCUUGAUAAUCAAAUAUUAUUCCGUAAGUGUUUAGAAAAAACAUUCAAUGUAUGAUGGUGAGAAAAUAAACUAUAUAAGCAACAUAAGAAUUUUUUUGGAAUAGUAAUAUAUAUUUUUAUUAAAUAUAAAAUAAAUUCAACAAUUCAUUGUACGAAUAAAUUCAUUGCACAAAUGUUCACUGUUUCUUAAAUAUUAUUCAUUGCAUUUUUACCAAAAAUAUUCAAUGUAUAAUGUGUAAAAAUAAACUAUAUAAGCAACAUAUAUAGAAAAUUUCUUAAAGUAAUACCCAAAAAUGAAUCUUCAUUUAAAAGGUCUCAACAAAUCAACUAUGACAAAAUCAAAUACGUAAAACAUUAUGUAGAUCAUUUUCACGUUCACUCAAAAAGAUUUGCAAUCAUGGCAAUAUCAAAACUUUUUGAAUCAACAAGUGUUAACUUUUAACAAAAAAUAAAACACGAUAAAAUCAUAUUUCACUAAAUAUAUUAUCUUAUAUAUAUUUUUACUUUUAAAAAAUUGUUAAUUUAUAAUAUUAUUGAAACCAUAUAUAUUUAUAUAGAAAUCUUCUAAAAAUAUAGAUAUUAUAAACUUAUCGAAAUGAGUAAUUCUCUUCAUUGUCUCAAGUGAUUUUUUUAAAAAAAAUUAUCUUAGAGAAAUUAUUAAUUUACCAAAUAUUAAUUUAAAUUUACCAUGUUUUCUUUUAUAUUGCUUCGAUUUUCUUCUACCUAAAAUAAAUUUAAUACAAUAGUUAUGGGCUGCACAAACCUUUUUUAUACAUAUUCCUUUCCCAUUAGAAUCCAAAUUUCACCCCACUUUUCCUUCCUACAAAAUCAGUCAAUUAUCACAUAAAUAUAAUUGAUGGUAUCAAAAAUACAAAAUCAUGAUAAAAAGAAUUGAGUAUUUUGCAGAAGAUUCAAGGUAGAAGGGAUGAAUAAUUCAUCGGAUAAGGUUAUUUCGGAAAAUAUAUUCAACCAACCCCAAUACUUUUACCCAUUAACAUCUUAGAAGAUUUCACAAAACCUUUAUCACUUAGUUUUCGGAACGGAGUUAGAAUUUUUAAUAAGGAAAUUCAAAAUAUGAAGAGGUAAACUCACGAACUAAUCGAAUAGAAGAAAGUUCGACAAUUAUUAUAUAAUACAUAAAAAUAAUUUUAACCAUAUAUAAGUAAUAUAACUUUUCAUCGAAGGGGUUAAGAUGAACUCCAACUACUAAUAAUAUGUUGGUUCCGUCCCUAAUAACAAUCAAAAUAAACGUUAUAUUUAAAUUAACAAUACACUUAUAACAGAUAAUAAUCAUCCGAACAACGUAAAAUGGAGAUAGAUGGUCAAAUAACGUAAAAUGGAGAUAGAUGGUCAAAUAUAUUUGCUUAAUUAAAUAUUUAACCUUUUUUUUUAAUGUAGCAGGUGAUGUAACACCUUAUCCCCCUUUCUCUGUUUUUUUACCUUUUAUUUUCAAAUUCAAAUUUUAAUAAUGGAAGUACAUAACAAUACGAAAAUAAAUAAACAAAUAAAAUUUAUUAGUACUUAAUUUUCCUCAUAUACCAAUUAAAAUUGUAAGAAAUGCAAUAUUUUGCACCUCAUUGUAAGACCAAAUGACCAAGGGAAUUUAUUUUAACGAGUUCGAAGCAUAAAAGGUAAAAAAUUAACAAAAUUUCAAAGGGCACAUGAAAUUUUUUUCUAAUCAAAAAGGUAAAAUCGCUACUUCGCUAUUUCGAUAGCGAUUUUAAUCUGUCAACGACGUCAAACAACCCUUUUGGUUAGAAAAGAAAUUGAUAGGCCCUUUUGAAACUUAUCGAUUGUUAUAGACUAUUUAUUUUUAUGAUUAUUCUUAAUAUUCAAAUAUUAGAUAAACAUAUUUCAUUGAUUUAAUAAAAUCUUUUAAAAUCACACAAUGUACGGAUAAAUUCACUAGCUAGUAAUAAAAAAAAAUUAGAGAACACUUGAUCAAUUGUAAAAUUAGAAUUUUUAUUAAGAUAAUUCAGAUAUUAGAAAAUAAAAACAAUCCAAAGAGCCGAAUUUAACAUUCACUCUAUAUACAUAAAAAGUAAUUUAAAUCAUGAAUAUAUAUAUAUAUAUUUAAUUUUUUUUUCAACUUGGGGAGUUCGGACGAACCCCUUUCCGGUACACUAGCUCCGUCCUAUAUGCUCAACAGUCAACUAUCUAAUAACCAUUUAACUUACUUACUUCUCGACUUUUAUAUCCUUAUAUUUAGGAUCAUGUCCUCGAUAAUUAAUAUGUACGACAUGUCCUGUCUAAUCAUAUUAACUCUAGGUCUAAUACUAAAAUAAUACCGUGUAUCAAUAUAUUGGGUACGAAAUUAUACAAAACAUUUAUGAAUCAUAUCAAACUCUAGCUCCAAUAUAAAACCUGUGAAGUUUGAUAUUUCACAAUGCUAAUUGAGUAUAAAAUUUUCUUCAAUUAAAUUCUAUCAUUAUAAUCCAUACAAUCAAAGACUAAUUUAGGACCAAACAUGUAACAUGUUAGUUGUUAGCUAAACACUCAAAAAGAAAUUGUUCACAUAAACAAAAACACAAAAUUGAGUGUCAAAAAACAAAAGAACUAUCGUCUGCAGCUUAGUAGUUGACAUAAUCAUUUUUUAAAUUCAGUGUUCGAUAAUUACAUUGGAGUCCGAUUAAAUUUAAAUUUACAUAGAAAAGUUUCACAUUGAGGCGUAAAACACUCUCUAAUAAAGGUGACUUUGCCCCCUUGACCGACCAAGAGUUCGAGACCUCUAAUUAAAGAUGAAAAAGUACUUACCACUACACCAGAAUUAUCGGUGACAUAACCAUUCUUUUGGUUAGUGCAAAAGAAAUGUCUAGGUCAAAUAAUUACGUCUUUAACUUCAAACUAAGGUUACUAUCCUUAUUAUAACAUGUUUGAUUACUUUUAAUUUCCUCCAAUAUUCCAUCUUUCAUAAUAAUCCAUUUGCUUCGAGUCUAAAGUUGUUAUAUUAGAGUAUCUUAAGAAGAAAAAAAAGCCUUUAUUCUUUCACUAAUCCUCCAAUUUAGUAAUUGAUUGUUUGUUUACUAAAGUUUCAUAUUCUCCAUCAUCAAGACCAAUUUAGUUAUGAUUUGACACAACUUUAAUUAUCUACAAAUAUAGGUCCACCACCCUGACCCUAAUUACUUUAAAUAUAUUUGAUCUGUUUUUUUUUUCUUUUCAAUCUCAAAUUCUUCUAUUAAAAGGUUCAAAGUUUGGUUUGAAUUUGGACGGAUUAAAAUGAGCUGAGUUAUUAACCCACUCAAAAGUUACUUAAGCUGAAAUAAGCUUAAAUAUGAGUCAGAACUCAACCCAUUCAAUACAGAGUUUUAUAUUAUUGACUUUGUAUUAUGGUUAUAUAUAUCAUAUUUGAUAAAACAAUGUCUUUUUGAAAAUAUUUUGAUAAAAAUUCUCAGGGAUUAAUUUGGGCUAGAUAUCAACCAAAGUUUUAAUAAGUUGAAAUGAAUUAGAUUGAGUUAACAAAUACUCAAGUUAAUGAUCAUUUCAAACAUGAGUUAGUUGAGUGAGUUAUGAUUUUAUGAACUAAUUUUAUCGUCUCUAGAUGUAAGUGUAAUUAUAAAAUGAAAAUCUACGUUUAAGGCAUGGAGUAUAGAGGAAAUAAUUUUCUCCUAAUGCUAAAGAGGAGUAGAGAGGGAAAGAAAACACGAGUCCGAAGCCCUAAGAAUAAAAAAAAAGUCAAAAAUUUCAAAGGGAUACAUUAAUUUUUUUUUUAACCAAAAGGGCUAAAUCGAUAUGUCAGAAGCAAUUUUGUUUUCACGUCAUUAAGUCUCUUAAAAGCUUAAAAUCGUUGACCUACCAGCGAUAUUUUCAAAGAAAAUCGCGGCAUGGGUAACGUUUUUGGCAAAUUCUUCUUUUAUAAAAAUAAAGUCGCUUUAACUGCAACAUUUUUAUUUUAAAAAAUUAUUUUUUUAAUAUCGCUGCCUAGACAACGAUUUAAGUAGGAUUUAUUAUACUUUUUGGCAAAUUGCUGCCAAGACAACGACUUGUGUGAAUUUUCUUUCUUUCUUUUUUAAAAUCUUGGCAACUAUUUAGUUAAAUAACUUUUAUUAAAAUAUUGCUGGCAAUUAUUUUUUUAAAAUUCGUUUAAAUUGUUGGUGAAUCAAUAUUAAAAAAUAAUUAUACAAUUUAUUUUUAAAAAAAUUGGCACUAAUUUAUUUUUAAAAAAAGUUCCACCAAGCAGCGAUUUUUUAUUUAAAAAAUAUCACGAAAAUAUCUAUAUUUAAUUUUUUUAAAAAAAAUAUAUAAAUGCUGCAAUUGCAGUGAUUUAAAAAAAUAUAUUUUUUUAAAGAAAAAUUAUUUAGUGAAAUCUUUAUUAAAAAUUAUAAUGCAAUUUUUAUUUUGAUCAAAAUAAAAAAAAUCACCAAAAUUAAAACGGCUUUUUAAAAAAAUAAUUGGCAACGAUAUUCUUAAAAAAGAAAAUUUACUAGAAGCGAUUUUUUAAUUAAAAAGAAAAAAACUUUUUUUAUAAAAAUAUUGAUUUUAAUUAUUUUUUAAAAAAAUCACCAACAUUAAAUAAUUUCUUUAAAAAUAAUUGGCAGCUAUAGUUUUUUAAAAUAUUGUAUUUUAAGCUGCCAAAGGCAGUGAUCUUUAAAAAAAAAAAACAUUUCCGCAUAAAUUGCUGCCGAGGCAGCAAUUCUCAAAAAAAAAUUUCACUAAAAUCACGUCCUAGGAAGCGAUUUUUUUUUAAAAAAAAAGGAAAAAAGAUAUGAACAAAAUCGUUGAUAGGUCAGUAAUUUUAACUUAACAGCGUGACAACAAAAUUGUUGCGUCAAUAACGAUUUUAUCCUUUUAGUUAAAAAAAAGUUCGAUAUAUCCCUUUAGAAUUUUUGAAUAAUGUUUUUAUCUUUAGACUUCGGACUCAAGAAAACAGUCGAUUAUAUAUGAAGAAAUAUUUUCAUGGAAUAACAUUUUAGGGAUUAAAGUUAUAAACUUACAUGACAAAAUAAUAAUACUAAUUGGAUCAAUAAUUAUGCAUCAAUGCAUGUUUGGUGCGCUUUUUUAUUUUUAUUUUUAUAUACACACUCUUAUUUCAAAUGCAACUAAUUUUUAAUUCCACAUACUAUAUAUUCGUAAGCUAAUACAUGGCUCUCUACGUAUUGAUUUUAUAAAAUGUGUAGAUGAAAAAUAAAGAGUUGUGAUUUUUAUAAUAAUUGUAAUUUUUUAAAAAAUUGUGAUUUUAAUGAAGAGUUGUGAUUUUUAUGAAACAUUGCGAGUUUUACGAAGAAUUGUGACUUUUGUGAAACAUUGCGACUUUUAUGAAAAAAUUGUGACUUUAUCAUAACGAUACGACUUUCACAAAGAUAAUGACUUUUGAUUUUUCAAGAGUGUUAUGACUUUUCUGACAAAACUUGUUAAACAGAGUAAUUGUUCACACUAUCUCUUGUUGUCUAUAAAUAAUGGGGUUUUUCCUCUUUCCAAAGUACAAAUUUUUCUAACUUCUAAAGUUUUGAACUUCAUCUUUUCCGCAAACAAAUUUUAGUGUAGUUUACUGUUAAUUUCUGAUAUCAUGAUUUUAUGUAUCAAUAUACCGGUAAUAAAAUGAUUUUAUUUUGAAAGGAUAUAUUCCAUUAUCAUCGAAUACUUUAGGAAUAAUUUCCUUAAAAAACACGAUAAAUUCAAUUGACUCGAUUUUCUUAUUUGAAAAAGAAAUUUUGUGUAUUAUCUCUAAUCUAUUUCAAAUUUUAUUUUCUUUACCUGUAAUUUCUAGUUUUAAAAAUACUUUUUAAAAUAUUAUUAUUUCAUAUCAAAUUCUCAAAAAUUAUUUUUCUAGAUAUCUUAAUAAUACAACUUAACAACACAUACAUUAAUAUACUCAUACGCAUUCUAAUUUGUUAUUAAAGUAGUCUCUAUAACCAUAUUAUAUUCUUCUAGAUAUAUUGUGCAACCCCAUUUAAUAGCACUGGCGAUGACCACUCAAAUAUGUAUAAUUUAUUUGAAAUCACAAACUUAUUUUUUUAUAAAGUUUGGUAUCCAUUGUCAGAUGAAAUGGUAUGGCGUGAGAGUAUUUGUAAUCUUACGUACUGCAUAAUUGAACACAUAAAUGGCAAAGUUGAGUAAAAUUGAUCUUUUCCUAUGAUUUUUCAAGGUCCACCCUUUAUGAAUUAAUUAGGGAAAUCAUUUUUCAAAAUUCUCUUUCAGUCACACGACCUUACCCCCCAAGUACCCCUAGCACAUCAACCUACCACCUUGUAACACACCCUAGCCCACCUUGAUUGACUAGAAAUUUAGAUCCGAUAUUUCUCAAUCUGAGAUCCAAUCAAAUUUGAGACCCCAUCUGUAUCCAACCCCAGCCUGACCGUAACAAGGGCUCUAACAUCGAUUCGAGACCAUCCCCAGCCUGAUACCCGACUCAGAAUUGUAAUCGACCCUGAAUCGACAAAGGACCAAACUCUCGAUCCCAACCAAAGACUUGACCUAACUACGAGUUGGGGUUAGGGUCAAGUCUCGUUGUCGGAGCCUUGUUUCAUGAUUGAGUCGAUUCGGGUACUGUGUUAUGGUCAGGUCUUGGAAUUGGGUUGGGUAUCGGGUUUGCAUAUUAGCUAGGUUGAGGUCGGAUUUCGAGAUUUGUGUUAGCUAGGGGUUGGGACAUGGGUCCUGAGUUUUACAGUAUUUAUCUAAGUUAUACCUAAAUUUUUGGGACAAUACUUUUUUCGUUACUAACCAUACACCAGAAAAUAUCUCCUUCGAUUUACAAAGUUUAUACAUCAUUAAAAUUAUUUGAAUUAUAUAUAGCUGAUAUUAAAUUUCUUUUAAUUUUUUUUUAUCUUAUUCUGAAUUCCUUAGUAAAAACCUUUUUAACUCCGGCCACACUAAUCAUCUUAAGGACAAGUUGGGUUAACUUUUGAAUAGGAAAAAUGACAUUAAAUACAAUUCCGUACUAGAUAGUAUGAGUUUAUUUUCAAAUUCUAAUAAUGAAUCUUGAAAAUAUAUUAGAAGUAUUUAUUUUCUUACUGAGAAAGACUUUGCAUGCAAGCAAUCAAGCAAUAUAUAUAUAAUUGAAUUAUUUCCAACGAAAAUUGCUAUACGUAGUUAGCUAGUAUUUGUUCCUUUUUCAUCUCACCAACAAAAUAUUCAUUAUUAAGUAUACAGUAUACAUAAGCCAAAUUACAUCACACAAAUCCUUUUCACAUUCCUUCCCUUUUUUGAGUUUUUCUUUGUUUAAGAGUCAAAUUUAUAUACAAGGACCCUAGACUUUUUUUUUGUCGGUCGAUCUUCAUAUUUAUUCAUUUUCACUAUCAUCCAAAAAUGUCUUAUACAUGUACAACAACCAUCUAGAGAGAUGUGAUCGCGAUACGUAAUAUUUUUUUUUUUUGGAUAUAUUACAAUUAGAUAUUUUGAGUUUGAAUUCUUAAUAAUAAUAUUUUUCUUAAUAUCAAUUAUUAUUGUAUACUAAUUUAAAAUCCUCGUAUAAAUUUAAGUAUAGAUGUCUCGAAAUAAUCGGAUACCACAUAAUAAACUUUUAUGUAGAUAAAUGACUAAAGUCGUCCCAAUGCAUUAAAUUUCCUUUUAUUUCACCUUGCGUAACGUCUUUCUUCAAGUUUGAAAAAACUUGUUCAUUUUCCUAUCGAAAAAAAUGGUCCCAGAAGAUAAAGUAUUUCUUCCUUUUUAUUCAAUAAAAAAAAAUGUGAUACUGAAUCUUUUAGAAGAAAAAAAAAGUGUCAAAUAAAAACAAGAAAUGGUCCAAAUAUAAUCUCUCUAGCUAUAUCCUAUAGUAGUAUUGUUUGUGAAAUAAAUUGAUCCUAGUCUAGUAAGUAGUAACACUAACAAAACUCAAUCAUAAUAGACAAAUUCCUUAGAAAGACGGAUUUCAAAUUUAAAAUUUGUAUAUUUAAUUUAAUGUUCAUGAGUCGUGAAAUUUUGUUAUACGUGUUGUAUUUAGUGAUUUUUUUUCAAUAAAUAUAUAAGAUUUGAAAUAAAGUUAUAAAAUCUUUUGCGUAUGAUUCAAAAUAACGAGAGACAGAUGAUUUUGUAGUCGUUUAGUUGGUUAUUAAAAGAUAAAGCUUGUAUUUAGAAACAGAUGUAAUGUUGUAACAUCAAAUUCAUUUUGAACUCAGUAUUUUCAACACGAAGUAUAAAUAUAUUUAAAGAAGUUUAUUAAAAUUGUAAUGUAUAAUCGGUUCAAUGCUAACAUUUUAAACUCGUAAAACUUAAAUCUUGAAUUCAAAACUUGCAUUUGCUUUUCCUAUUAUAAAAUUGAUCCCAUAUCUCUCUCUAUGUCCCAAUAAUUAGUGAAAUGUAAAGGUAGUCGGGUGUGUAAACAAAGUCCUAUAUUAACGGCCGAUAAAAUUAAUAAGAUACGAUAUAAGAUGUAAGACUUGUUAAUGAUGUGAGAAAAUCGCGAAGACAGACAAUCUAUAGUACUUUAGCUUCUUCUUCCUCUUUUUUUUUUUUCCCUUGAAAGUUCAAAUAAUUAUAAAGACCCCAAUGAUAUCUUAAUAUACAAUCCAAAAGGUCAUCACCAAAUUUGCGUAAAAGCCACUUAAUUGCCUCACCUAGCUUCUCUUCUCUCUAGCUCUUUAACCUUAAAUUCCAUCUUUUUUCUUCACUCCACUCCACACUUGUUGAAAUUAUAUAUAUUUCUUGGUGAAAGUAAUAACCUUUGUAAUUAGCCUGAAUAUGAUCUACUACUAUUAUUUCUUGUUAGAUCAUUAAUUUUUUUGAAAACCCCUAGUCCAAUGGGGCGUCACUCUGUUUUUGUUAAAGAAAAAACAAGGAAAGGAUUGUGGUCACCAGAAGAAGAUGAAAAAUUGUACAAUUAUAUCACUAGAUUUGGUGUUGGAUGUUGGAGUUCAGUCCCUAAACUAGCUGGUAUUAUAUUCUUACCAUUUCAUUAAUUUCAUUUAGGUCACAGGUUCGAGUCGUAGAAGCAGUGAGCCACUAAUGUUUGUAUUAGGAUGGACCGUACGGGGUGCAACCCUUCAUUGGACCUUGCUAAUGCGGGAUGCUUAGUGUAUUACACUGACUUCUUUGUUGGUAUAUAUAUAGUAAUGGAAUUGGAAUGAUGACAUUUUGAUAGUGUGAGAGAUCCUUGUAGGUUUACAAAGAUGUGGAAAGAGUUGCAGAUUGAGAUGGAUAAAUUACUUGAGGCCUGAUCUAAAAAGAGGAAUGUUUUCACAGGAAGAAGAGGAUAUGAUCAUUACUCUACACAAAGUUCUUGGGAACAGGUCAUUAAUACUUGUUUCUUAUUAGAUAAAUGUAACUUACUCAUAUGCUAUCUUUUCAUAUGAAUUCAUUAUGCUUUACUUGAACCGCUGGUCUAUUAGAUCCAUGAUCUCGUAAUGGUAAUGGUAAGAUUGCAUACAUACCACCUUCCUCAUACCCUUACAUUGUUGUUGUUGUUUGUAUAAAGACCAAAGAAGAAUUUUGAACUAAAGAUGAGGUUCUUUCACUUGUUUAAUUUCCUCACCCUUUUGGGUUGUUUUGACAAGUGUUUAUUUGUUAAUUCUUUUGUUUCCAGAUGGGCACAAAUUGCAGCAAAAUUACCGGGAAGAACAGAUAACGAGAUAAAGAAUUUCUGGAAUUCAAAUUUGAAGAGGAAGCUAAUAAAGCAAGGCAUAGAUCCAAAUACCCACAAGCCACUAAGUGAAAAUCAUCAAGUAAGAAAUGAGCCGAAUUGUACAGAUAAGACCUCAAGUUUGCUGAUGCCCAAGCUCCCAAAUAUGUCAGAUUCAGCUGAAAUACAGCAACCAUUUCAUUUUUUCAAUAGUAAAAGAAAUUUCAACAGCCAAGCAGUUACUAGAGAGUUAACAGAAGUUUCAAAAAACCAACUUGUGAGUAAACAGGUCUUUGAUCCUCUGUUUCUGUAUGAGUUCCAAGCAAGUGUGAAUCCAAUUGGACCUUAUGCUCAUCAUCACAACCAAAUUGAAGGGAAUCAAGAUUUUGGGUUUUGCUCAAAUUUUCAACAUGUACACAUGACAACAGAGAGCGAUAUUUCUGAUAGCUCAACUUCAAGAAUGAGUACAAGUAACAGUUCAAAUACUAUGAUUAGCCAUUACAAUUCUGUUGGAAUUCAGAUGAAUGAAAUGUUGGAAUGGGAUGCUGACAACAAAAUUGAUUCUCUUAUUCAGUAUCCUUAUGUUGGUAUCAAGAAUGAAGAAAAUUACAGUAAUAAUAAUAAUACAUUGAGUGGGGAAAAUCUUGAUGUGUUCCACCAUAUCUAAAAUUUUGUAAAAUUUCAUCUUCUUAUAUAUACCUAGAAAUGUACAAAACUUGCAUCUUCUUUGAGAUGUUUUGGCCAGAAGUGCAGUUCCUUAUUAAAAAUGGAUUUGUUGUUGCAUUUUUGUUUAGUGAUUAAUAUGUUUAUUUGGUCAAAUAUUACUGCAUGCUAUCUGUCAAACAGAACAUAGUGUCCUUAACAUACUUUUUAACUAAGUUGUCAGUAGAAGCUACUAAGGCUUUUGCAUUUUUCAAAGUUCAGUUAGUCUGACUUUGAUAUCUCUUGUAUUCACAUACAAUCAAAAGUUAAAAACACACCAAAUUCAACAGCUAUUAUCAACACGCGUGUAGAAAAGUUGGUUGUGCAUUGAAUACGUAGAAAUAUUAGUUUUCCGAAAUAAGAAUGAGCAAGGUCAAUGAACAGUACAUGCUUUGCUAAAACAUGUCAUUUACAGUAGCAAUAUCCAUGUGGAAGCACCAAUUCUCAGGACUCUAUUGAAAGAAAACAGAAAUUGAAGUUUACGUUUUCUGUGUAUGCGCAGCAGAUAAUACGGAAGGACUACUUUAUGAACCAAAAAUCCUUCAAAGCUUGGCAGUCAAACCAGUGGUAGUGGGCUUUGAUUCACCAUUUUCUGAAGCAUCGCUGUCUUUGCUUUCUGAGUCACAUCCCCGUGGUGGAGGUACAUCUACAGCUGGAGAGCAGUUAAAGAAUCCAUGCGGCUGCACCAAACAGAAUUAAGCAUUACUUAAACUAGAGAGGAGUCAUAAAUCCAUAUUUCCAGCAUUUUAUUUGAUUCAUCAAUCAGACAUGUUUCAGUCCAGAAUUAAUUAGGGAGAUCGGUCCGUCAAUUUUCACAACUCUUUUAGAUUUAACACAAUACAUAACCAGAAGCUAGAUGAUGACAAAGAUACAAACAUAAGCACAUAACAUCUGACACCGGAAUACCUGAAGCAUAAAGCCGAUAUGUUCAACGGGCAUAACAGGCCAGUCCUCCAAUCUAGGAACAUGCGUGAUUCCAAAAACAUACCUGUGAUAAACUAUGUAUAGAUCAGAACAUCAAGGAAUAGGUAACUUCCCAAACACAUAUUUAAACAAAGGAUUAUCCUAGGAACAUGAAGUUCCAGAUCUGGAGUGUUACAAAAAUUAAGCGUGGAUAAUUUUCAAAACAAUUGAAGCCUGCACCUCCAAUGUAAUAAGAUAAUUUGAGGGUUGCCAAGAAACUAACCAGAGAACAAUAUCACUUUCUUCCAGAGAGCGAUCUUCCUUGACCCAAGAAGCUAGUCCCUCGCCAACACGUGGAUUUUGAUUAGGGAACUCUCCCCCUGGAAAAUCUUCUCCGGGUGCAUAUUGUGUAACCCACAGAUUGUGCUUCAGAAAUGCCGCUCUUCUCAAGAACUUAGCCUCAGGACCAGCCAAUGGCAAACAGUUCUGACCAGGUACCAGCUUGUACCCUGUUAGCUGACCUGUUCUGUUGGAUGUUCUUGUGUUCCUAACCUACAAAUCAAAUGUUCACAGUCAAAUUGAUGGCUCCAGCUCUAGGGAGAGGGAAUGCUCGUAAUAGAAUUUUUCCAUCCUAAAAAGGACACAACGAUUGGUCAUAUGACCAUGACAAAGGACUUUAGCUCUCUCAACAAUCAGUAGUCAUUUUUAAGGAUCACAUUCUACUAUGAACAUAAUGUCUCAGCAGACUGUGCUAGGAAAGCAACAUGAAAUGAUGUUUCUGUCAAAAGAAAGGAGGAUACAGGUGAGGCUUCUUACAAUCCAAUGACGAGCAGAUAAAGGAUCACAGUCUCGCAUUGCUUGCAAUUCAGACCUAAGUUGUGUUUCUUCGGCAUAGAAUGCGUUAUUGUGAACAUUUUCCUUCCCAGGUUCUUCAACUUUGAGAUUUACUUCAACAACCUGGAGAAAUACUCAGAAUAAAGAAGUUAAGAACUGGAAACUGGAGGUGAAAUUACUUGGACAUUUUUUGUUUGAAGACAGAAAUUGCUUAACUUUCAGAUGCACAAGAAAACUCGUUAAAAAUACCUGAUUGUGUGCUUCUCCUGGCUUACAAUCAACUGCCAUAUUCAUACGAGCAACAAAGAAGUGCUGAUGAACAGGUGCAUACAAUCCUGGUGAUAUUGUGGUGCCAUAUUUUCGAGACUCUCCAGGUUGCAAUGCUCCCAAACUGAGAAUUCCUGUGAGUUUGACUUCUGCUUCAAUUUUCCCAUCCUGCAGCCACAAAGAGUAUGUAUCAUUUCAAAAUGGUCAGUAGAGCUAAACAUAAUAGAUGAGAACAAAUCAAGAAAGUUCUGGUGGAUGGAUGAAAACUUCUGCCACUCAUCAUUGUCUCUGGCUAAGCCCUCCAACUCUCCCCCACCCCCCACUCCCAUAAAAGAAAUAAAGAUAUAAAAGCACAAGCAAGUAGCCCAAAUAACAGUGCCAUUAUUUGAAUCUAGAUUAAUCAAGCAAAUUGGAUAAAUAGAUUCUCUUAGAAAGCAUAAGAGAAUCAUACUUCUACUUGCUUUCUAUUCUUUGAAAUGGUCUAAAUAAAAUGUGAUAACAUUUAAAUGUCACCUGAUUUCUUUAGAACAUGUAAACAAAUGAACAUUUCCUGAUAAAUGAUUUUCUUAUUCUUGCCUGGUAAAAGUGCCAGUAGAAUCCAUAUUCAUAAUUGGCCACAGUGCAAAUAAAAGAAACAGUCAGUCGUCUAGACCGUCUAACUUCAGCAAGGCCAGUUCUCCAAUCCUGAUGCUUCCAAAGCAUCCCGUGAUCUUCCUCAUGCAAACAUACACAAUUUUUGAUGGUUUCUACUCCUCCAGUAAAAUUUGUAAAAUUGGCAUCAAAGUACUUUAUGUAUCCUAAACAAUCGCAUCCCUGCAGUGGUGUUUUAGUUAUAUUAGAUUUACAGUUAAGAAGUCGAAUGCACAACUAAACCAUAGAAUUGUCAAUUACCCUCUUAAGUGAAUGGGCAUUCUUUCCAAGGCCAUCUUCUCCUGCAUCAAAUGCAUUUUUUCUGUAAUGUGGAUCAUUUGGAUCCCCAUAGGGGACAACCAUCUCCACAAAACUCAACCUAUGGGCUAUGGAUCUUCGUCCCCUGCUACCAUCAAGAUAUGCCACAGAGUGUAUAACCAAACCCUCCCUAGGGGUGAAACCUACUCGGAAAUUCCACUGUCAUACAUAAAGUGAAAGAACGGCCACAUUAGUAUACAGGCAGAAUCCUUCAUUGCAUAUGAGACUGGAAAAAGAAUUUACCUUUUGCCAUUGAACAUAGUUCCCAUCGACGCGAAAGCUUGGACCCUCUGGCUGAAUAAUUUGUAGGGGUUUCACAUCACUUCGGUCAACCCCUCCUCUUGUCUCACCCGCAGUGUAAUUCCUCAGUGGAUCAGCUGGAAGUAAAGGUACAAGUUUGCGGUCUUCGAACUCUAUCACCUGCAUGAUUUGCACAUCAACAAGCACAUGUAUACCUUCAACUGGUCUUGCAUAUCCAUUUUCCAUUGGGCAGUAGCUCUCUGUUCUGCAGAAUAUUAGUGGUUUGGCAAGCCUGCGGCUAGGAGCAUCAGCUUCACUGUGAUAACCAACGCACCUGUAGAAAACAUAUUCAGGUAAAAAUGCAAUUAUAUUAAAAAAACAGUUCUUAAAGAAGAAGGAAUGGGAAAAUUCAAGAACAUUUCAACUAACCAGGGGUCAACCAUUACAAGGUCCAUGUCAUCAAUACCCCUUCUCUUCAUUGCUUCAAUAAAUGGAGGAUAAUUUUUAACCACAGAUUCACAGUCAGCAUACUCUUGUGCAUCCUACAAUCAGAAUAAAGUUGAGAUAAUUUGUAAAAACGGAUUACUGAAAUCUACAUAGAUUACAUAUAUACAACAUAGAAUUUGUAAAUUUUAACAUUCUUUUGGGUUAACUAAAGCAGAACAUUUUAUGCAAAUUUUGUUCUCCUUUUGGUUAAGCUCUAUGUUCCAUAUGACGGGAAAGAAAGCACAGUACAUUAAGAAGAGAGAAUAUGUGAAUUAAUAUAUGAAAAUAAAAAUAUACAUAGGAUAGGCAAAUACAGGAAUAGGUAAAUGCAUUACGAAUAAAAUAUGAUUAGCUCCCGUUAUAUAUUGAUUGAAUCAAUUGCUCAACUUGCAUGUAUAGACGCACUUGAUUAGCUUCUGGAAUCAGAAUAGAAUGUUCAAUUGGCUCAUAUGGUCUCUCCCAAUUGCCUAAAAUCCUUUAGGCCAAUACAAGAAAAGACAAAUUCUACAGUUCUACUGACUAUUUUGUUUUCAUGUGCUGUUUAGAAUCUCUAGGACAUCAGUAUCACAAGGCCACUUGAUAGUACCACAACAACAUAUCCAAUGUACUUGAUAUAAACUAAAGAAACAAAAAUUAACACAAGGAAAUUCAAUUAAAUGUUCCAUUUGGAUGGUGGAGGUAUUCACUACAUCAUUUUUUUCUUAAAUUACUUGGUGGAUCUUGCCAACUGAACAUUCUAAAGAAUACCAAAAGAUGACAUCACAAAUAUGCUUGAAAUUCAUGUGUAAUUAUUAGAGCUUAGGGUGAAAGCAUUUAGCUUGAAACAUAAAUAAGAACUUUGUAUUGCUCUUACUUUGAGUCCCGCAUCAUUUCUUUGGUAACCUAAUUGCAUCUUCUGUUCAUGUACUUCUAAUCUUUUGAAGUUCUAAGCAUGAGAAGUGCAUACCAUAGGUGGCUGAACAUCUGGAAUAACUUUUGAUGAGAUCACUUUUCCCCUGUGUUGUCCACCUCGAACAGCAGCAUGUACUUCAGUUAGCCGAACAAUCCAUACGCUUGUCUCAUUUGUUUUCUUAUUGUAAACAAUAAGUCUAGCAUGCCUUGGAGGUAGUUUAGAAGGAACAAGAAGUCCUCCUUUGGUUCUGGGCAUCAAUGAUGAUUGGAAAGGUGGGUAGAAAUAGGCAUCUGCCAGUGCAACAAAAGUUUUAUCUGGUUCCAACAGAACCACCUCAACAAACCGCAUGCCAUCUCUGACCUAAAAUGUUUUUGCAAAAAGUUAGAAAGACACAAAAAGAGUUGGUGGAAAUUUAGAGCAAAAGAUGUCCUGUUGUUCAACUGAUGGAUUUUUUGGUUGUUCUACACAACAAAUGGAUGUAAAAGAGAUGGUGAUUAUUUAAAAACCUCAGGCGUAUCACCGGCAGCUCUAACGGUUGCCACAGCCACAGAGAUCUCAGCAGCAGUUAAAGGGUCCAAAGGAUGACAAGUAUGAGCUCUAUGCAUGAUUUGAAUCCCUGCAUAAACAUGGAAUCAUCAAGCAUUCAACAUCUUACUAACUACUCCAAUAACAAUAACAAGAUCCUUCCAUUAGCAUUUUCUUCUUAUCUGUUCAUGAUAUUUUCUGAAGUUACUUCAUCUAUAUAUGCGUUUUGCAACAAAAAUAAGAAAAUCGGUCACAUCUGCACAAAACAGAGGACGGACAUCGUAGAUUGACAGUCCAUAUAUAUAUAGUUCAAUAAAUGCACUAAAGUGGAACAAAUGGAUAUACAAAAUAGGUCUCAUAUAAUUUGAAAUUUAGGCAUAGUUGAUUGAUUCAUUUUCAAUUUGAUAGAAUAACACUCUACGUCAAUAAUCUCAGGGUAAAAUACAAUACAUAUAAAUACAUAAAUACAUACAUAUAUAUACAUAAAUAUAUACAUAAAUACAUACAUAUAUAUAUAUAUAUAUAUAUAUAUAUAUAUAUAUAUAUAUUGGACCAUGCAAUUGUACACUUAAACUGGCUAAGUUUCAAAAGUAGACCCAACUAUUGACUAAACAAAACUUACUUCUCCAAUACCAAAAUCAACCCCGUGAGCACAAAAAUCACAUGAAAUUUCUCGAUAGCUAUGAUAAAUAAUUGAAUAUAAAUGCAACGCAACCAACUCAGUGAAUCGGUUACCGAGAAAAUCAUAAAUCAUAAACAGAAAAAGAAACUAAUACAUCUGAAUGGUCAUUUGCAUUCGUAAACCUCACGGAAAAUGCAGGGCAAUCAACUCAGUGAUGUGAAGCCGUUAUCGAGAAAUCAUAAAUCACAAACAGAAAAGAAACUAAUGUAUCUGAAUCGCCAUUUCCAUCCGUAAACCUCAAGAAAAAUGAAGCUCAAUCAACUCUUUAAAUCAGUUACCGAGAAAAUCAUAAAUCAAAAACAGAAAAGAAGCUAAUGCAUCUGAAUCGCCAUUUCCAUCUGUAAACCUCACAAAAAAUGAAGCACAAUCAACUUAAUGAAGCGGUUAUGCAGAAUAUCAUAAAUCACAAACAGAGAAAGCAUCUGAAUCGCCAUUUCCAUCCUAAAACCUCACGAAAUUCAUACAUGCAAAUAGUCAAACAACAAACAGAUACAAUACAAUGCUAUAUACUCCGAAUUCCUAUCGUCAAAAUUCAAAUUACACACAAAACACUCGCAUUAAUGAUUCAUUACCUUUGCUAGACGCAGUUGCCGGUGUUUGUUCCUUCUGAUUGUCGACGACAACGGAGUCAACAGCGGAAUCGGAAACGGACACGGCAGUAUUCUCACGACGGACAACAGAAACAGAGGUCGGAGGGAUGAAAGAAGCAGCAGCAGCAGCAGUAGUAUUAGUAGGAGUAGGAAUCACGUUUUGUGAGGUUUCAGCCAUUGCGACUACUACUUAUACUGUGAUGAUCACGGUGUACUGAAGGUUUAAUUAUUCACGCGCUUCGACACUCAAAAUCAGUGACUGAUCGAUCAGCAAAUACUCUGUUGUGCUUUUUCUCGCCACUCUGCUUCUGCGAAUAGUUUGUUACGUCUGUGCUAUGGCACUAUGCUCAGAGCUUAAAGUUUGUGACAGUUUAUUUUGUUUAGAUUUCCAAAUUAUUUAGGAGUGCUAAUAAUCUGAGAAAACAGUUAUUUAAGCCUAUCUAUUCUCUAUUUUUAUGUAUUAUUUGACUUGGUAUCAUAUUUUUAAAAUAUAUAAAUAUAGAAUUUGAUAUUUUUAUAAUAUUAUUUGACUUAGUAUGAUAUAAUUUAGAUAAUUAUGAUAACUUCAUCGAUUCUCCAGUAACUAAAUAUAUGAUUAAUUAAUAAGAUUGUAAAUUAUUUAUUUACUUUAAAAUAAAAUAUUUUUAAUUAAGUUUAUUUGUUUGAAUGGAGUAGAGAGAUAAAUAUGUCUCACAUGCAUGUUAUGUCAUAUUUCUUUGUUUGACUAGUGAAAUUAAGGAGUUAUAAUCCCCACUUUAAUUUUCUAAUUUUCAAGUACCCAAUUUUCAACUAAAGAUUUAUUUUUUAAAAAAAUAUUUGAUCUUUAUAAUCAAACAUCUAUUAUAGGUUUACAUAUGAAUUGAGAGAAUUUUUUUUUGUGUAUACAACAAUGUGCCUCUCAUUAUUUAUUUUUUUGGAUUGAUAAGUUGAAUUAAUGAGUUGAUCACAUGUUAUCAUGAGGUAGAAAAUGAUUGAGUCAAAUGUUAAGGGGAGAAAAAUAAGAGAAAUAUGGCAAAGUCAAAUAUAUAUAAAUCAAAUAAAUAUAACAUGGCAAAGUCAAAUGUGAAACACAUUUUUGUUACAUAAUUUCAACGAAAAAGGGUUUUGAUAUAUUCUCUCAAUUUUGUCACUUGGAGUUAAUAUACUCUUUAUUAUGAAAGUAUCUUAUAUAUGUCCUUAUCGUUAUAUAAACGGCUCACAUAUACCCCUAUUGUUACAAAAUAGCUCACAUAUACCCUUCAUUUAAAGAAGUUAAAAAAAUUAGUUUAAAUUAUAUUUAAUACUUUUAAUUUGUGUAAAAAAUUGUUUAGGGGUAUAAAUGAUUAUUCGAUCAAAGUUUAAGGUAUAUUUUAAUUUUUUUUCAUACAUAAAUUAUUUUUUGACUUCUUUUAUUAUAAUUAUUUGAGUUUCUUAUUUUUAUUUUAUUUUUUUCUUUCAUUCCUUAGUUUAAAGGAAAAAAAUUAAACUAUUUUUUUUGUCUAUAUUGUAAUUUGAUUUUUGUACUAGAGGAAAAAAAUUUGGUCAUCUACAAUAAGUUUUACAAGUAUAUUAGUGAAACAUAAAUAAAUUUGAUUAUCAAAAUAAUAAUUCUAAAUUAGUCAUUGAAAUACAAAAAAGUCAAAAUAAAAUAAAAUAUGUUUGACGAGGAUUAAAUUUACUCAUAAAGAAUUAUGAUUUUUAGAAAAAAAUAAUAAAAAGUUAGAUUAUUUUUUUUUUUCAUUUCCGUUAGAGGAAAAGGAUAUAUGUAAGUCAUUUGUUUAUAAGUAGGGAUAUAUAUGAGUCAUUUUCAUAACAAGGGAUAUAUCAACUCUAAAUGACAAAGUUGAGGAGUAUAUGAUGUCCUUUUUCCUAAUUUCUAUUUUGAUUAGCUUUUUGGGAAGUUUUUUUUGUUUUGUUUUUUUGACCUAGCACCGAUUUCACCAAGUUAGGCACAUUAGGUGUACAGACAAAUUGGUUAUUUAUCUUGUUUUAGAGCUAACUAAAAUGUUUUUAAUAUUGAUUUUUGUCUAAAGUUGUAACUUUGAUAAGGCCAAAAGUAUAUUGUAUAUAUCCCCUAUUCUUUUUACUCUCUUCAUUUAUAUUUACUUAUAUUCAGUAUAUAUACUAAGAAUAAUUAUUCAAAGUUUAUUUAUUCAGCUUAGUUAACUAGUAUAGUUUCGAACUAUAUCAUUACACAAUUAUAACAUUGUAUAUAUAGGUUCGUGUGAGAUACAACCACCAUAUUUAUUUAUUUACUAGAUAUCAGAUGUCCGCGCUAAUGCAGAUUCAACGUAUGUUAGUUUCUUUUUUAAUUUAUAUGACAUAAAUGAUAUUUAAAAAAGUGAAUUAAAUUUUUUAUAUGUAUUUUUUUAAAAAAUAUUUUAAAUUAUUAAUUUAUGUACGUUUUGUGUCAUUUUUAAAUAAUAUACGUUAUUGUAUUUAUUUUAUUUUAUAUGAUACUGAUUUUAGGAAAGUCAAUAAAAUUUCUAAUAUGAUACCCACAUAUUAAAAAUAUAUAUAUGAGAGCCCAUUUUAAUAAUAAUAAUAAUAAUAAUAUAUAUAUAUAUAUAUAUAUAUAUAUAUAUAUAUAUAUAUAUAUAUUAUUUUUUCAUUUUAAAAAUAUUUUGAAUCCAUCCUUUUCGAUUUAUAUAAAUUUACUUUUUUAUUUUGUUUCAAAAAAGAAAAUGACUUCUGAAUUUUAAUUUUUUUUAUAAAGCAUAUUUAAGAUCACAAAAUUAAAAAAUAUUUCAAUACACAAAAGUUAAAUAUAAAUAUAAAUUUUAAUUUUAAUUUUGAUUGAUUCCACCUAAUAUUAUAUUUGAUAUAUUAUUAUUAAGAGCUAAGCAUAAUCAUUAUUUAUUUACUUUCAUAUAAUAAAUAGAUAUCGCAAUAACUCUUUAAAAAAUAAAGAAAUAACAAAAAUAAGGUAAUAGUAAUAAUAAUCACUAAAGAUGUUUCUAGAACGAGUCUGGAGCCUAACUUUUGUUAACAUUUUUCAUCCUUUAGGCUCCGAAUUCUUUUUAGAACUAUUCAAUUUUCUUGUUAUCAUUCAUGGUAGAAUUUUUGCUUGCAUUAAAUUACAUUUUUACCUUCGAUCUUCAUUCACUUUAUAUAUAAAAAGAUGUUUCUCCAAUUAUUUAUUUUUGAUAGAUUUUUGUUAAAAUGAAACUAUAUUUUAUUCUAAGUCGACUUUAAUAUAAAAUAUCAUCCUAUUCAUUUUUAUUUGUCAAGUUACUUUUUAACAUAUUUUUCUUUAAUUCCAAUCUAAUAUAUAUUAUCCACUUUAUCACACUUAUUUAUUUUCAAGUAUAUUAUUAGAGUUAAAAUUAAGAUGAAAAUUUAAUUCAUGAUAAAUUUUUAUACAAAAAAUAGGCAUUUUUUAUAAGCAUAAUGAAUAGAAAAAAAUAUCAAGAAUGAAUUUAAAAAUAGUAAAAUAAAGUAGUAAUAAAAUAGAUAUCACAAUAACUCAAAAAGAAAAGAAAGUGAAGCAAUAACAAAAUAAGUUAAUGAUAAUAACAAUAACUUAAGAUAUUUCUAAAACUAUUUAAUUUUUUUAUUAUCAUUUUUAAUAUAUUUUUAUAAACGUAAAAUUACAUUUUAUCCUUAAUCAUUGUUCACUUUAUAUAUAAAAAAUAUUUCUAGAAUUAUUAAUUAUCUUUCUUAAUAAAUUUUUGUUAAUAUAAAUUUACCCUUAAUAGUGCUCCCACUUCACACUUUAUAUAAUAGAAAUUAUUAAAAAAAAAGUGAUAUACGUAGUGGACAAAUUGCUGGAUAUAAUUGCCAGCUGUUUUUGUUUGCUUAUUUGAUUAUAAAGAAUUUACAUUUAUUUAGUGUUUUAGUAAUGGUCACUAUAAAAAAAAUAAUUUUAACGGUAUUAAAUAUUAAUAUUAAUAAAGAGUGUUAAAGUCUUUAUUGGCAUUAGUUAAAUGUCAUUAGAAUUAAUGUCAUAUAAAGACUUUAGGGACAUAUACAAAAAGUGUUAGUUAUUUAACAAUAAUUAAAAAUUAAUUACCGUUAAUAAUCAUUUUUGAUGUAGUAGGUGAACAACUAGAUCAAUUCAUAGGCUAAGAAUAAUGAGAAAUAAUAUGAUCUCAAUACAGUUCUCAAUUCAUAGGCUAAGAAUAAUGAGAAAUUGAGAAUUGUAUUGAGAUCAUAUUAUUAUUAUUAUUAUAGUUAUUAUCACUGACUUAACUCCUUAAGAAACUACUUAAAUUAAUUUAACCAUAACUAACUAUAAUUAACUAUGUUACAAGAUAUAACUAACUUUUUUAUUUCAUUAUUCACCGUAACCAACUCUAAACUCCUACGGGUCAUAACAACAUUAUAAUUGUUGAUGUUGCAUUUUUAAUUUUAGAGAAAUUACUAAUUAGUUGUCAUUAAUAAAUUAAAACUUAGGAGAAAAUUUCAGAUAAUUUUCAAAUUAUUCCGAAUUAGUUCUACACAACAUUAGAUAAAUUAAAAGGCACCGAACGAACAUUUUCUUCAAAAUUAUCUAAAAUUGUGAUGGACAUAGCAUGGUUACCACUAGCUAGCAAUAUCCAUGCCUUUGAAUGUAAAUAAAGUUUAAUAUUUGUAUUAAUCAUAAACAAAUGCUAGUUUCACAUUCAAAUAUUAAUUUUAAAAUAAUAAUUUAAUAUGAUUAUAAUUUUUUUUAUGUUUUAGAAUAGUAAGACAUCAAUUUAUUUAAAAUAAUGCUUCAUAUCCAUUUCAUUUGGCUCAUAUUUUAUAGUAUAGAGUGGUUGAUUCUCGGCUUAACUACUCAUAUUUUAACGUGAACCCAUUUUUGUUCACUCCUUUUAUAUUAUACAAUUAUAUUAUUAUGAUAUUCUAAUUAUUAUUUUUGUCCUCACAUGUUUAAUCCUAUUCGUUUUAUUCUAUUUAUUAAUAAUCACUUCAUACUUAAAUACUUUAUAUCAUUCUCAAUGUCUAAUUAAUUAAUUAAUACUACCAACAUUCUUACAUCACCAAUAUAUAUAGUAAUGAUAAUUAAUAUAAUAUAAAUGAAUCACCUGGUGCCAAUAGUCCAUGACACACCAAGAUUCCCUUGUCUUUACAAAUUGAGAUUAUUUAGCAAUAUUCUUGUCAUUUACUUGAUAAAUUUAUUAAGAAAAUAAUUAUUCAUAUGAAUAUUUAUCUUAUUAUUCCUACUAAUAAAUGUUUAGUACUGAAUCUUGAAAAAUGAUAGGUAGAAUAUUAUAUAAUGCAAGGAUAAAAUAUAAAGAAUUUUUUUUUUAUCUCUUCUUAUUAUGUUAAAGGAGACGAGUAAAUGAAAAAGUAUCUGACUGACGCUUUAAUUUGAAAGUUAAUAUAAUAUCGUCUAAAAGUGUGGUUUAGUAAUUAAUAACACACAUUGAGGAUAAUGAGGUCUCAGAGUUUAAUUUUCAGCAAACGCAAAAAUACAUAAGUGAUUUUUUUUAAAUAUGCGUCUAAGUUUAUCCUCUACCAAAUCGCUCUUCCUUUUUUAAGUGCAAGGACAAUGGAGGAUUACGUGCUUUAAUCUGUCUGAUUAAUCUUUUGUUUAAUUUUUUUUCCAUGCAGUAUAUUCUUGAAUCAUUCUGAUUAUUAUACAAAAUGUUAAGAAUUUUAAUUAUAAUUUGUUCAACAACCAUAGAUUAGCACCAUAUCUUAUUGAUCCACCUCCCUUGAUUAAUGAAAUAAUUAGAGUGACCAUUAUGGGAUAUCUAUGACACGAUCGAAUGUCACCAAAUCCAAUAAUUAAAAGAUACUUAAUAUAUAUAAUCACAUUUCUUGUUUAUUUCUUUGUUCUUUUUGGUAUUUGUUUUAGGAAAGCUACUAGCUAGGUUAACUGGUUAAGUACUAAUUGUGUUGCUAAAAGAUUUAGGAGGUGUGUGGUAUAGAUUAACUAAAUUUUUUUUAGAAGAUAGGUUUCACUUUUCUUAUAUAUAGUUGGUUAAUUUUUUUUUAAAAUAUUUUUUUAUUAAAAAAUAUUUUUUUUAAAUAAUAAAAAAAAUGACCUUUUAUUGAAAAAAAAAAUAUAUUGUAACAUUUCACUCUUCUCCAUCCUCGCACCCCACUUUCAUAGCCUCCAUGUCCACAUUCACAUACAUCUCCAAACAUAUAUGUAAAUUGAAUAUGUUAUUUUUGAGUUCGUUUUCGCAUUCAUUUAGUAAUGCUACUGUUAAAGAAUGACAAAAGUCUCACAUCGGUAAUUAAUGAGAUGAGUGGACUAUUUAUAAGGCUUGGGCAAUCCUCCUCCCUUUGAGCUAGCUUUUGAGAUUUGAGUUAGGCCUAAGACCUAAUUUCACACCUACUUUCACUUUUACUUGUAUAUCUACUAAAAUAUAAAUAUUUAUUUUUAUUUAUUCAGUUUAAAAAAUUAAAAAAUAGUUCAUCGCUUAGUUCAUAAGUUACCUUUAUUAUCAACUAUAAUCUUUUUCAAAUAUUUCCUAAGCCAUUGAAUCUAUUAUAUUCAAAAAUAAUAAUAUAGUAAAAAAUUAUCAUUUUAUUUAUUACUCCUCCUGAUUAAGAGACGUAUCUGUUAAAUAAAAAGAUAUUUUCCAUUAAUUAGUUAGUUGUAUCUUGUUAGUUAUAUUGUUAGAGAGGUAGUUAGAGUUUGUUAGAGUUGUUAAUGAAAUGUAUAAAUAUAAUAUGUACAGAUUGUUGAAUACAAGUUGAAUAUACACAAACAUUAUAUUUCCUCUCUUCUCUUCUCUUCUCUCAUCUUGAAGGUCCUCACAUGGUGAAGAUCAAGGAUCUUAACAUGGUAUCAGAGCUUGAGUAAUUGAUCUCAUAUUCUUUCGAUCUUCUCUGCUUCUGGUUCACGUUUCAUCUCUUUUCUUUACUGUUUCUGUUUUCUCCUGUUCGACACCUCAACAAUGGUGAAUGCUAGCUCACCUGCAGAUCUGGAAAUUGGAGUUGGAGUUGUACCUACUAUGGUAACAAUCGAUCAACAUCAUCCUUUGUUUCUUAAGCCCAAUGAUACGCCAGGUAGUUCCUUAAUUUCGAUUAAACUAACAGGCCCUGAGAAUUAUGCAUUAUGGAGUAGUUCAAUGCGAAUUAAUCUGUUAGGUAAAAGCAAGUUAGGAUUUGUGGAUGGUCGAUAUCCUAAGGAGAAAUAUUAUGCUUCUCUUCAUGAUUUGUUGGGAAAAUGUAAUGCUAUAGUCCUUUCAUUGAUUAUGAACUCUGUAUGUACUGAAUUACUUAGUGGAAUUGUAUAUGCUACAAGUGCAUAUAAGGUGUGGACUGAUCUACAAGAACGAUUUGACAAGGUUAAUGGAUCUCGAGUCUUCUUCCUUCAUUCACAAAUUUCUACUCUUAACCAAGGAAUUUCUUCUGUUUCAACCUAUUUCUCAAAACUAAGGGAACUAUGGGCAGAAUUUGAUGCAUUGAUGCCAUGUCCUGGAUGUAAUUGUGCUGAGUCUAGGAAAUAUGUGGAACACUUUGAGUAUCAACGCCUUCUUCAAUUUCUUAUGGGUUUAAAUGAGUCUUACUCACAGUCUAUAAAUCACAUCAUGAUGAUGCUUCCUACUCCAUCGAUUAAUAAGGCAUAUGCCAUGAUCAUUUCUGAGGAAAGUAGAAGAUCUCUGGGUUCUUCUUCUUACAGCUCUGAAAUUGCUGAAGGGACAACCUUGUUUAGUAGUAAAAGCAACUCCAGUGUACGCACUAAUCAUCAGGGGAAUAAUUCCUCUUACAAGGGCAGAAGCAGAAGGAGUGAUCUCUACUGUGAUCAUUGUCAUCUCACAGGUCAUACAAAAGCAGUUUGUUACAAGUUAAUUGGAUAUCCUCCAGAUUAUAAAUUCAAGAAGAAAACAGGGUCAUAUAUCAAAGACGAUGAAACUAGUAAGGGCAAUCCUAAUCCUAGUGAUAUUGGAAAUCAGUUUGGGGGUCAAUCUGCCAAUUUUGCAGGAUCUUCUCACAUGUCUAAAGGUUCUACUGAUGCAUUUGGUGUUAUUCCUCAAUUUACUGAGCAACAAUACAAACAGAUCUUAACCAUGCUUGAUUCAGAAAAGUCUGAAGCUGAUCAUGUAGCCUCGACAACAGGUAUGAUCCCUCAUAGGCUCAUACUACUAUCACUUCAGAUGAUGUUAAGUGGAUAGUGGAUUCUGGUGCUUGUAGUCAUAUGGUUAGUUCUGUUGAGCUGUUAUCCCACACUACAACAGUAAACAAGAAUGGUCUAGGCAAAGUUUAUUUGCCUACUAGUAAUGUAGUCAAUGUAACUCACACAGGAUCAUCUUGUCUCUUUCCUGGUCAAGAGAUAACCAAUGUCAUGCAUAUUCCUGAGUUCAAAUACAAUUUGUUGUCUGUUUCUCAACUGACAAAGGAGCUUCAGUGUGCUGUAUUAUUCUAUCCUGAUUUUCGUAUUCUUCAGGAUCUCUCAAGUGGCAAGGUGAAGGGGAUUGGUAAAGAAGAAAAUGGCUUGUAUGUGUUCCAAUCAGGUCAUAAGAAAGCAUUUACAGCAAAUGUUGCUGCUGCAGCUACUAAUGUUUGUUCUUCAUCACUUGGAGUGUCUUCUGAUAGCUAUAGUAUGAGUAUGAAUCUUUGGCACAAGAGGUUGGGUUACACCUCUUCUGUUACUAUAAGCCAGUUGUUUGGUCCUACUUCUACACAUUGGGACAAAUGUAUCAAGAGUUGUAAUGUGUGUCCUUUAGCAAAACAAACUAGACUGUCUUUUCCAUUAAGCACUACUACAUCUGAGUGUUGUUUUCAAUUUGUUCAUGGUGAUGUAUGGGGUCCUUAUAGAGUUCCUACUCAUAAUGGAAAAAAAUACUUUCUUACACUUGUUGAUGACUAUUCUCGAUAUACUUGGUUGUUUCUACUACCUUCUAAAGCUGAUGUUGUUGUUGUGAUUAAGGAAUUUCUGCUUAUGGUUCAGACUAUUUAUUCUUCUGUAGUGAAGUGUCUUAGGACUGAUAAUGGGUGUGAGUUCUUUAACUCACAAAUGAAUGGAUUGCUAAAGUCUUUUGGUACUGUUCAUCAAAGUUCUUGCUCUUACAGUCCACAACAAAAUGGAGUGGCAGAGAGGAAAUAUAGACACAUUUUAGAAGUAGCAAGAACUAUCAGAUUUCAGGUUGGUGUACCAUUGAAAUUUUGGGGUUAUUAUGUGACCACUGCAGUAUAUAUAAUUAAUAGACUGCCUUCUGCAAUCAUUCAAGAUAAAUCUCCUUUUGCGAGACUUCAUAGACACUCACCUUCUCUAGCUCACAUGAAAGUAUUUGGCUGUUUGGGGUAUGUAACUCAGGUGAGAAAGGUGGACAAAUUUUCUCCAAGGGCUAUUCCUGCAGUAUUUCUUGGUUACUCGGUGUCAAAAAAGGGCUAUACUAUGUAUGAUUUGGAGUCCAAAGUAUUUUUGACAAGUAGCGAUGUCUUAUUUCAGGAAGAUUCUUUUCCUUUCAAGACAACUUCCAUUUCUCCUUCUCAUUUGUUUUCCCCGAAGGAAGAUGAACUGCAGCCAUCCUAUAUAGAGAAUAAUGCUUAGUCAUCCUUCAAUGUUCCUGCUCCUUCCUCUUCUGCAUAUGUUCCUUCUAUGGAUAUUACUUCAAUAGGUGAUGCUUCUGUUUCUGAAUCUUCAGCACUACAAUCUCCAGCAGUACCUGUUAGUAGAAAAUCUUCUAGGACUACUAAGCCUCCUAUUUGGAUGCAUGACUAUGUCCCACAAGCAAAGGAAGUGUAAAUUGUUGUUAUCCAGUAUCUGAUGUGGUUAGUUUUGAUCACUUAUCACCUGUGUUUAGGGCUGCUUUAGCAUCUUAUUCUGUCAUCAAAGAACCUACUUCUUAUACUGAGGCUAUUAAAGAUCCAAAUUGGGUUGCUGCUAUGCAAUUUGAAAUUCAAGCAUUACAAGAUAAUAACACUUGGAGUUUAGUUGAACUACCAGCUGGAAAGAAACCUAUUGGGUGUAAAUGGGUGUUCAAAGUUAAAUACACAUCUUCUGGAGCUGUGGAAAGGUACAAGGCUCGACUUGUAGCAAAGAGUUAUUGCCAACAAGAGGGGUUAGAUUACACUGAGACCUUCUCUCCAAUUGCUAAGAUGGUUACUGUCAGGUCAGUUGUGGCUGUGGCAGCAGCUAAAUAUUGGUCUAUUUUUCAAAUGGAUGUUCAUAAUGCUUUUCUUCAAGGAGAUUUAGUGGAGGAAGUGUAUUUGGAGGUUUCUUCUGGUUUUGGUAGCCAGGAGGGGAAGCAUGUUAUCUGCAAAUUACAUAAGUCUCUUUAUGGACUCAAACAGGCACCUAGGCAAUGGAAUAAGCUUUCUUGGAAUUGAAUUUGUGAGAUCACAAAAGGGAAUAGUGAUGAGCCAAAGGAAGUAUGUAUUGGAACUAAUUAGUGAGUUGGGAUUGAGUGGCACUAAACCAGUUAACACACCUUUGGAGACGAAUCUAAAACUUACAUCAGUUGACUAUGAUGAUUUUAUAACUAAGGAAGCAGGUUCUACAAAUGAAGAUAUAUUACUUGUUGAUCCUACUCAAUAUCAACGGCUAGUAGGAAAGUUAUUAUAUCUUACUAUGACUAGAGUUGACAUUGCACAUGUAGUGCAAGUGCUAAGUCAAUUCAUGCACAGUCCCAAACAAUCUCACAUGAAUGUUGCCUUAAGAGUAGUGAAAUAUAUAAAAAAUGCUCCAGGUCUUGGUCUUCUAAUGCCCUCAGAUAGUUCUGGAAAAUUUGUAGCAUAUUGUGACUCUGACUGGGGUGGUUGUUUACAGACUAGGAGGUCUGUCACAGGAUACUUAGUGAAGUUUGGCAAUGCUAUAGUGUCUUGGAAGUCAAAGAAACAAGAAACAGUAGCUAGAAGCUCUGCUGAAGCAGAGUUUAGAAGCAUGGCUUCUGUUGUGGCUGAAGUAACUUGAUUGAUUGGUUUGUAUAAAGAGUUGGGAAUCAGUAUUGAGGUUCCAAUUUGUCUCUAUUGUGAUAGCAAAGCUGCUAUUCAGAUUGCAGCAAAUCCCAUUUUUCAUGAAAGAACUAAGCACAUUGACAUUGAUUGUCAUUUUGUGAGAGACAAGAUUAUACAAGGUAUUAUCAAAACUCAUUAUGUUUCUACUAAGGAACAGCAGGCUGAUCUAUUAACCAAGAGUCUUGGCAGGCAACAACAUGAACACUUAAUGACCAAACUGUGCUUGAAGGAUUUAUUCAAAUCAUCAAUUUGAGGGAGGAUGUUAAAUAAAAAGAUAUUUUCCAUUAAUUAGUUAGUUGUAUCUUGUUAGUUAUAUUGUUAGAGAGGUAGUUAGAGUUUGUUAGAGUUGUUAAUGAAAUGUAUAAAUACAAUAUGUACAGAUUGUUGAAUACAAGUUGAAUAUACACAAACAUUAUAUUUCCUCUCUUCUCUUCUCUUCUCUUCUCUUCUCUCAUCUUGAAGGUCCUCACAUGGUGAAGAUCAAGGAUCUUAACAGUGUCAAGUUAAUAUUAUUGACGAAAUAAAAAAUAGUAAAUAGUCAGGGGGUAUAUAAGCUAUAUGGAUCUUUUAUAGGUAAGUGCUCAUUCAUUUCAAUCUUUGGUGAUAGGUGAUCGCCCAAUAUUGAUAUCAUAUAUGAUUAGGACAACCACAUUUACAACCUAUAUCACCAACUCUCCCACUAAAUAGGCCAUUAUAUUUUGGCUUAACAUAGUAGUAAUUAUAUUAAGUUUGUCUAGUCUAAUAGUUAUGAUUAAGACCUUGAAUUUUAUUAUUGUUUUCCUCAUUUUGUUUAAUUUGUGGAAAUUUUUGUAUUCAAGAAUUGUUUUAAAUACAAUUAACUUAAAAGUUUAGACGUAAUUUAUUUAUUCUUCCUAUAAAAUGUAAAAGUAUGUAUCUGUUUUGUCACUACAUGGACGUCCAUAAGCCAUGAGAGAGUAAAAGUGGUUGAACACAAGUCUUUCUGGUUAAGUUAAAUUUUAAAUUUUAAACAUCACAAUUUUAAAUUCGUUACCCUCCACCGAAUGAAGAGUUAUAAACUAAUAAAAUCAAUUAUGGAUCAAUCCGUUUAACGAGGGAUAAAUUUGAUAAAAUUAAUAAAAGAAAGAUUAUAACUUCAUUUUAACGACAAAGAUAAAAUUUAAAUAAUAGAUCAAAGUUGAAGGAUAUUUUUGACCCUCUUUCCCUUUAUUUCUUCUUCCUAUAAAAUAAAGGCGUUAUCAGUUUUCCUUUAAUGAGUAUCCGGUUUGUCACUUCAUGGACGUCCAUAAGCCAUGAGACAAUGAGUGGUUGAACGCAGUGUCUCUCUAGUUAAGUUAGAUUUUAGUCUUUUCGACUUAACACAUAUGUCAUUUAAUUUGAUCUAAAUAAAAUCAAAUAAAUAAAAAAACAUGCAUCCUCCUAAGCUACUUACUCAAAUCAUUGAUGAUACAGAAAUGGGGCUGCAUUUGGAAAAUUAAUAUUAAAUUAAGUCGAUACAAGAAUAUAUCGUAAUGGUAUCAUAUAGAAAAUUAAUAAAUAAUAAAGUUUUGUUUAAUUGUUUUUCUUUUUGCAUCUUUAACAUAUUAAUUCUGUUAACAUGACUUUCUUAUUUGUAGCACACUUUUUAUAUAUUUUACUCAUGUCAAGAACCUCUUUUGCGUACCAUACACACAGUGCACUUGAAAUGGUGCUAUUUCUUUUAUAUUAUUAUCCUCUCCAAAAAAAAUGUCACUUGCUUGGCUCAGGAAGAAGAAUAGAAUGUGUAUAGUUAAAUAAUAAAAGUAUACUCUUAGAUAAAAUGGUCACACACCUCAAUCAAAAGUUUCUCAAAUGAAGAGUUAUAAACUAAUACAACACCAUAAAUAACCACUAGCAAAAAAAAAAAGGAGGGGAAAGUCAAAUAUUUGAGAGAAUGGGUAAAUGCAUUAAGGUUAUUUGGGAGAAUGGAGUCGGGUUAUUGAGGUUUAAAUAAGGAAUAUAAUUUAUUUUUUUUUUUUAAAAUGAGAUCAAUUUGGGUCAAUCCAUCUAAUGAGGGGUAAAUUUGGUGAAAUUAAUAAAAGAAAGGAUAAAAUUAACUUCAUUUUAAUGAUGAGGGUAAAAUUUAAAAAAAUAAAUCAAAGUUAGAAGGAUAUUUUUGUCCCUCUUUCCCUUUAUUUGUUCUUCCUAUAAUAUAAAGGCGUCAUCAGUUUUCCUUUAAUGAGUAUCCGGUUUGUCACUUCAUGGACGUCCAUAAGCCAUGAGACAACGAGUGGUUGAACACAAUGUCACUGUAGUUAAGUUAGAUUUUAGACCUUCCCACUUUAACACAUAAAUAUGUUAUUUAGUUUGAUCUGAAUAAAAUCGAAUAAAUAAAUAUAUGCACUUACUCAAAUCAUAGAUGAUACAGAAAUGGGGCUGCAUUUGGAAAAUUAAUAUAAAAUUAAGUCGAUACCUUCAACUCGGUGCACAAGAAUAUAUCGUAAUGGUAUCAUAUAAAAAAUUAAUAAAUAAUCAAGUUUUGUUUAAUUGUUUUACUUUUUGCAUCUUUAACAUAUUAAUUCUGUUAACAUGACUUCCUUAUUUGUUGCACACUUUUUUAUAUAUUUUACUCAUGUCGAGAACCUCUUUUGCUUACCCCACACACAUUGCACUUGAAAUGGUGCUAUUUCUUUCCUUAUCACAAAAUAAGUCAUCCUUUUCGACUUACAGCCAUGAGCUAACACUUUUAAAAUGGCAAUCCAAACAGGCUCUUGCCAGUCAACAACGACGAAUUGGUCGAUGAAAGUUAGAAACAUGGCAAGUUAAAUUCACCAAUAUACAUAAUUCACGCAAGUAAAACGUCACUGAUAUAGAAAUCCCCGAUAGACGAAACAUACGAGAGAUCAAAGGGAGUAUAGUACAGAGGUAGAAGAAAUGUAACAAUAAGUAAACAAGCACAUCCAAGUCCUCCCAUUGCUAAACUUCAUUCAUGUAUAGAGGAUUUUGCAGAAGAACAGAGAUCCAAGGUGAACAACAGAUCAAACUAUGAGAGGAAAAAGUCUGGGGGAAAACGAGAAGACCAAAAUCCAUAUAUAAGAUCAUGAAAACCUGAAAGUUUCGACCCAAUCCAAAAGUAAACAAACUGAAGGGGACGGGCAGACGCUUUACGUUGCACACAAUCCUCAUCGAUUUUCGCAUCAAAUGAACAACAUUCUUUUGCUAAUCAACUGGAAAACAAGUAAUCCACUACAUCCUUCUCUUAUCUUCUUCAUGGCCAAACUCUCUUUCCUUUCACUCUCAAAACAUCCUAGAAACUUCACACACAACCAUUACAGAUAUGGCUUGGACACAACAUCCUAGUUUUAAACUUUCUACAACCUCUAUGUUUUACAGCAAUAGAUGCAAAACUCAUUCUUAUCAAAACAAAGAACCACAAAAAAAAGGAAUCCCACUCAACCCAACACUACUCGCUCUAGUUGAUUCUAUCCCCAUAACUUGUCACUCCAUAAAAGAUAACUAGUUCCAAUUACUACUACAAAUGGGGAGCAAGAAAUGUCUAUACAAUGUCUAUUUGAUUUUAGUUGCAAAUACUAAACUAAAUAAUUACUCAAUUCAGACAUCAUAAUAAUAUAUGAUACCAAAAGUUCUAUACAACAAAUUACUUGUGAAUGUCUAAUUGACAAAAGACAAUGCAAGAGAAUCACAUUUGAAUAGGCUAGUCUAAUUAGUUCAUAACAAUCGAAUCUAUAUCAGAACGACAACCAAGAGGAUAAUCUGUUAGAACAUCAAUUCUAUUUGACAUAGAAUCACCUAACAUCUGUUGAACUUAAGCAGCAGGCGCAUAAUUGACACAAACUCUGAUAAUAAUGUCAAAACAUUAUCAAUCAUUUGAAAAUGUCGAAGGCAGAGAGUCAAGGAUCCAGAAAAAAUUAUACGCCAAUUUGUUGUAAAAAGUAUUUCAAACAAUUCCAAGUUCAAAUCUCCAUUAACUAAUCCAAAAACAGUAACUUUAACACAAAAAAAAGUAACUAACAACUCAAAUCAAAUCUAGGCGGUAAGAACAACAGCACCACCAUUUUCCUUGAUCUUCUUCUCUGCAUUCUUUGAGACCAACUUAGCCUUAACAACAACAGGCUGUCCCGUAGGCAAAACACCUUUACCCAAAACCUUGAAAUACCCAAAUUGGGUAACAUCAAUCAACGGGGCAGUACCCUUAUUGGCAGCAGCCUUGUCUUUCACCUCUUGAGGAAGGAGAGACCAUAGAGUGUCGAUGUUGACAGUAGGGCAAUAGAAUUUGUUACGAAGCUUGUGGAAAUAACGCAUACCUACUUUACCGAAGUAACCAGGAUGGUACUUGUCGAAAAGGAUCCUGUGAUGGUGCAUACCUCCGGCGUUACCUCUUCCUCCUGGAUGCUUCCUGUGCUUUCCGAUACGACCAUGUCCGGCGCUGACGUGACCACGCUUCUUCCUGUUCUUCUUGAAUCUGGUAGUCAUUUUCUCCUCGGCUGCGGCGGCAAAAUGGGGAAAAGGGAAAGUGCGGCAGUGAGAGAAUGGUAAGUCUAGGGUUUUCAGACAUUUAUAGAUGGAAGAUCGAUGGAUUGGGCCCAAUAGCAAUUUUUGCCAUUAGGGUUUUGACAGGGCUGUUAGUAGUUAGAUAUGGGCUUGGGUGAAAUUUGGAUAAUUGUAGCGAGAAUAUGAAGGAGAGAGCGACUGACAAACAGUUUGCUAUAGAAUACAAAUAAAUUAAGCGGUAGCUAUUUAUUUAUUUUAUAUUGUUAGUCUGUGAUUGUAUACAAUUAUCCCAAUUUUUGUAUUUGGUGGUAAAUAUAAGGGAAACUUUUACAUAUAGCCAGUUAAAAAUAAUUAAUUACUCUCCAUAGCUAUAGUUUAAUAAUUACAAUUCGUAAUUACAUGUUAUAUGGAGGAGAGAGGUGAGCGAGACUGGAAGAGAGAGGAGAGAGGCGAGAGGGGGGGGGGGAAGAGUGGGAGAAAGGUGAAUAUAUUGGUUAGAUAAUUGUAUAUUAUACAUAGGUAUUUGUAUAUAUGGAAACAGAGAUUGAGAGAGGGAGGAGAGAGGCAAGCGAGACUGGAAGAGAGAGGGUGGAGAGAGGCGAGCGAGAUUGAUAGAGGGGGAGAAUAGCGAGCGAGAGAAGGCAGAGAGUGGGAGAGAGGUGAAUUGUAUAUGUAUAUAAUUGUAUAUUAUACAUAUACAUUUGUAUAAAUGGCAAGCGAGAUUCGGAGAGGGAGGAGAGAGGUGAGCGAAAUUGAGAUAGGGAGGAGAGAGACGAGUGAGAUUGAGAGUGGGAAAAGAGAAGCGAGCGAGAGAGGGCAGAGAUGGGGAGAGGUGAAUUAUAUAUGUAUAUUGGUUUAAAAAUUGUAUAUGAUACAUAUUUAUUUGUAUACCCUGGCGAAUUAUACAUAUACAAACAUGAUUAAUUAUAUAAACUCGAAGUUAUCGCACGUAAUGAAUGUAUAAUGUUAGUCGCGAGUGAUAAUUAUAGCAAAUUAUAGCUAUGAUGAGUAAUUAAAUAGUAUAAGUUUGUUUAGCCGCGUAAUUUCCCCUGAAUAUAAGUGAAAAGAAAAAAUAAUUUUUUCGUGUUUUUCAAAUUUCUUAAAAAUAAUUCGAUGAAAGUUUUUCACUAGACUGCGAAAAACACAUUUAGCCAUAAAAUUCUAAAAAUUAACUUCAAGUUAAAUUUCUUAAUUUUUCAAAAAUUUAAAAAAGCAACAAAAAAAUAUUUCUACUUCUAUUUUUCACUCCAUUUAACUUACAAAAAAAAUUAAAAUAACUCCAAUUUAUAUUCGUGAUCGAACACAAUUGCAUGCAAAUUUUAACUAUCAUUUUUUCACUUUGAAGAUAAUCAAUCACCAAUUAAUAAUUGAUUUUAUUUCAGAUGAAAUAGCAUAUAAGGGACAACAAACAAACAACACAUCAAAUUGGUGAUGAAGUUGAGGUUGCAAGUCAAGAGUUGUUAGGCUUUAUAGGUUCUUACUUGCGUGCAACUAUUCUUUACCCCGUUGGCGCUUUACAUUACAAAGUCCAAUACAAGACUCUUGUGAUUGAUGAUGAAAUCGCGCCACUAGAAGAGACUGUAUGUGUCUCUGAGGUCCGUCCUGUUCCACCUACUCUUGCAUCUGAAACAAGGUAAAUGGUAAAAUAUGAUAUUGUAGAUUUGAAGAAAUUUUUUUGUUAUUGUAGUCUCUACAUGUUUAAGAACUUUGUUACAUUCUUUUUUUCCCAAUAUUUUGAUUGAAUUUGCCUGUUAAUAUGCAUUUUGCAUUUUCAUGUUGCCUUUGAUUAAAACUCUGUUUUGGCUGCCAACCACUCUACACACUUAUAAUUCUAUAUCUAUUUAGUACCUGGUGUAGGUAUGUACUUAAUGGUAAGAAAAAUAUGCACGAGGCAGACGCGAAAUCCAGGGGAAAUAGGAGAUCAUAAAUGCUUAAAGAAUUAGCAAAUUAUAAUGGUUGUUACUAUCAAAGACACCAAUUUGUCAAGAUCUACAGGGUUCUUGGACAUGUCACAUUCUAAGUAAAAACUAUACCUUUAAUGUAAAAGAAACUUUGUAUUUCUCUUUGGACAUGAACCUUUUUCUCACAUGGAAAGUUUUGGACCAUAUCAUAAUGUUCUGAUAUUACAAUUCAAUUUGAAGGAUCAAAAUGUAUGGUGUAUUCAACAUGUUGGAAUACCAGUGUUUAUCAUGUAGAACUGAGUGUUAAACACGCAUGAAAAUUGACUUUUUAGUGAAAAGUGCUAGUUAAGUUCAGUCAAGUGUAAACCAUUCAUUUUGCCUUUAGACUCAUUUAGGAUUCUUAAGAAGCAAAUACUGUUGUCUGUGUUGCAGUAGAAAUGAUUCCUUUAUGAAGUAAACAUCGUCGAGUUAUAUGCAAGAGAACUUAAUAACAGAAACUUAAUAUUUACUAUUAUAGUAAGCUAAAGUACUGGGAAGAAAACUUGUUACAUUGUUUUCUCAAUCGAAUUUUCUGGAAAAGCAUAUGCAUUCAAGGAAAUUCCUUGUAAUCUCAGGCUGCCUUAGAUUACAACUCUGUUUUGGCUGCUGCACUUGGCUAACCACUUUAACCUCUCAGAACUCUGGUGCAUUUUUUUGAACAUAUUCUCCUAUAUCUUGUCCAUUCUUUACUAGCCUGAAAUGGACAAAUAAUAGCAUUAUAGCAUGCUUGAACUUUGAUAAUUUCAUGUUGUGGUGGAGAACUAUGUUUACCUCGUGGAACGCGGUGGCCUGUUUCCAAUAAUAAGGCUUGUAAUGUUGACAACAGGUAUAAGGUCAAGUAAUGCUUUAGCUGGUGAAUUGCUUUCCACAAGCAUAGUAUCAACUGGUACCUAGCAGCCAAAGUAAAAUCAAGAACUGUCCUGUAACAAUGUUUUCGAAUAUUGGAUGUGAAGAUUCUGAUUGAUAUAGACUUGAACCUACUUUGGCAUCGUUGCAUAGGCGAAUGUAUUUCACCAAGAGACUCUUCCUCCUAUUAUUCUCUUCAUUGAUGUAGACUUGCACUUGCUCUUUGCUCAAUUGGCUUCUUGAUAAGUUCCCAACUAUCAUACAAAAUUCAACUUAGCUGUCAAAUUUUCCUCAGUUUCUAUAUAAAAAAAUAGCUUGGUGCUCAAAGCAUCUCGCGUUUCACGCAGGAGCAAGGUAAACAUCGCGCCCAUAGGGGUGUGUAAUGUAAGCAAUCUAUCCUAAUGCAAGUAUCGGUGCAAGGCAUCCUGCAUUCAUGUAAGGUACGUGGAAGGGCUUCACCCUGAGGGGGUUUAAUAUAAGCACCCUGCCCUGAUGCACUUGUUAGUGGCUGAUUAUCCACGUCAUGAACCUAUAAUCUAUAUGUCACAAGUUCGAGUCAAUUUUACCAGUGAUCCAAGCAGUCGUGUAGCCACAUUGGACACCCUUCGUCGGAAUAUUAUAUCGUAUAUACAAGUAAAAUGACACAACAAUAUGAUGUAGCCUAGUGGUUUCAGGCACCUUGAAAUAGUAAAGAUACAAAAAAUUAAAGUGUUUGUGUGUUUAGAUUUCACUACUAGCAAAAAAAAUUCACUUUUUAAGAAGAGCAGAUUCACUUUAGCAUUUCGACACCCUUCGUGAAAAUCCUGGAUCGAAGGCUCCACAUCCCUUUGUUCCUAGAAAGUAUUCACCUAUUAACUAACUUUUAUCUGACUUAAGACAAGAUAUAUGAUGAAAAAUCCUAGGAUUCUUGUCACUAUUGAGAUAGCAGCAGCAACAAGAAAAUUGAACCAUUAUAUUCAAUAUACUCUUGAAUUUCCUGAUUAUUGAAUGAAUCGCUGACGUGAUAUAUCGAAUAUAGAGAUAUGUAUGUACAAGAACAAUAGUUACCUGGUGUUGGAAUGUACUUGAUAGUAGGAAAAAUAUGCACGAGGCAGACGCGAAAUCCAGGGGAAACAGCAUGAUCAAGUGCCCAUUGAACAACAUACAAGUCAUUUUUUCCAACAACUACAUAAACAUCAUUAGUUUCUGCAUCUUUUAUUGUACUACUCUUGCUAUCUUCUCCAAUCUCUUCGAUUUCCCUAGACAUCUCUUUCGACAAAUCUUGAAUAUAGCCGAUAACAACGAUGCUAGUUGUGGUGCUCAAUUCUGGUCCCUCAUUUGAUGGUGGUUUCUAGCGAAGACACCAACAAUGUAAUUUUUUUGUCAAGUUGUGGAGUGUUUCUUGGAUAUGUCACAGUCUAUGUAACAACUGUUCCUUUGAUGUAAAAAGAAACUUUUUUUAAUGCUUAUAGAAAAGAAUGAUGGUGGUUGCUAACAAAGACACCAAUAAAAUGAAAAAAAAAAGGAGAGUUUUAUGUGAAUUUUUUUUUCAUGUCUAACAUCUGUAGCCUGUAGGGUUCUUGGACAUGCCAUAUUCUAAGUAAAAAUUGUUCCUUUUUUAUGUAAAAGAAACAUUUUUUUUUUCACAUGGGCAAGUUUUAUUGGACCAUAUCACAAUUUUAUGAUAGUGCAAGUCAAUUUCUAAUGCUUUGAUUUUUCUCUUUUUCCUUUACUUGUGAUCUGUUUUUUCCAGAAUUGUCUCUUUCCAUGCUUAAAGGAUCAAAAUGUUAUAGUCUAUGCAACAAAUCUAACUAUUAUUAUAACCAUACAACAUUAAAGUAUCCGAUUGAGUCAGACAUUUUAUUAAGGAGUGUUAAAAUGUAAGUAUGUAAACAUAUCCUAACAAAAAAGAUCAAAAUGUAUAGUCUAUGCAACACAUCUAACUAUUACUAUGACAAUAAAAGAUUAAAGUAUGUGAUAGAGUCAGAUAUUUUAUUAAGGAGUCUUAAAACGUAAGUAUGACAUACCUGAAGAAAAAAGAAAAAAGAAGAUCCGAUGAAGUCAGACAUUUUAUUAAGGAAUGUUAAAAUGUAAGUAUGUAAACAUACCCCAACAAAAAAGAACAAAAUGUAUAGUCUAUGCAACACAUCUAACCAUUACUAUAACAACAAAAGAUUAAAGUAUCAUACCCCAACAAAAAAGAUCAAAAUGUGUAGUCUAUGCGCGAAGACAAAAGAAAAAGAAGGGAGUCUGUCAGACAGCCAUGAGACCAUCUUAGUAUGCCCGAUGACAAAAGAAAAAGAAGGGAGUGUGUCAGACAGCCAUGAGACCAUCUUAGUAUGCCCGAAGAAAAAAGAAAAAAAAGGAAGUCUGUCAGACAGCCAUGAGACCAUCUUAGUAUGCCCGAAGAAAAAAGAAAAAGAAGAGAGUCUGUCAGACAGCCAUGAGACCAUCUUAGACCCGAGAUCUCCGGUCUAAGAACGAUCAUCUACUGCAUCCACAGCUCGAGGAGCUAUGGAAGGCUGUUAAUCACGCUCUAGUCACCAUUACUAUAACAACAAAAGAUUAAAGUAUCAUACCCCAACAAAAAAGAUCAAAAUGUGUAGUCUAUGCGCGAAGACAAAAGAAAAAGAAGGGAGUCUGUCAGACAGCCAUGAGACCAUCUUAGUAUGCCCGAAGAUAAAAGAAAAAGAAGGGAGUGUGUCAGACAGCCAUGAGACCAUCUUAGUAUGCCCGAAGAAAAAAGAAAAAGAAGAGAGUCUGUCAGACAGCCAUGAGACCAUCUUAGACCCGAGAUCUCAGGUCUAAGAACGAUCAUCUACUGCAUCCACAGCUCGAGGAGCUAUGGAAGGCUGUUAAUCACGCUCUAGUCACCAUUACUAUAACAACAAAAGAUUAAAGUAUCAUACCCCAACAAAAAAGAUCAAAAUGUGUAGUCUAUGCGCGAAGACAAAAGAAAAAGAAGGGAGUCUGUCAGACAGCCAUGAGACCAUCUUAGUAUGCCCGAAGAUAAAAGAAAAAGAAGGGAGUGUGUCAGACAGCCAUGAGACCAUCUUAGUAUGCCCGAAGAAAAAAAAAAAAGUCUGUCAGACAGCCAUGAGACCAUCUUAGACCCGAGAUCUCAGGUCUAAGAACGAUCAUCUACUGCAUCCACAGCUCGAGGAGCUAUGGAAGGCUGUUAAUCACGCUCUAGUCACCAUUACUAUAACAACAAAAGAUUAAAGUAUCAUACCCCAACAAAAAAGAUCAAAAUGUGUAGUCUAUGCGCGAAGACAAAAGAAAAAGAAGGGAGUGUGUCAGACAGCCAUGAGACCAUCUUAGUAUGCCCGAAGACAAAAGAAAAAGAAGGGAGUGUGUCAGACAGCCAUGAGACCAUCUUAGACCCGAGAUCUCCGGUCUAAGAACGAUCAUCUACUGCAUCCACAGCUCGAGGAGCUAUGGAAGGCUGUUAAUCACGCUCUAGUCACCAUUACUAUAACAACAAAAGAUUAAAGUAUCAUACCCCAACAAAAAAGAUCAAAAUGUGUAGUCUAUGCGCGAAGACAAAAGAAAAAGAAGGGAGUCUGUCAGACAGCCAUGAGACCAUCUUAGUAUGCCCGAAGACAAAAGAAAAAGAAGGGAGUGUGUCAGACAGCCAUAAGACCAUCUUAGUAUGCCCGAAGAAAAAAGAAAAAAAGGGAGUCUGUCAGACAGCCAUGAGACCAUCUUAGUAUGCCCGAAGACAAAAGAAAAAGAAGGGAGUCUAUGCGCGAAGACAAAAGAAAAAGAAGGGAGUGUGUCAGACAGCCAUGAGACCAUCUUAGUAUGCCCGAAGACAAAAGAAAAAGAAGGGAGUGUGUCAGACAGCCAUGAGACCAUCUUAGUAUGCCCGAAGAAAAAAAAAAAGUCUGUCAGACAGCCAUGAGACCAUCUUAGACCCGAGAUCUCAGGUCUAAGAACGAUCAUCUACUGCAUCCACAGCUCGAGGAGCUAUGGAAGGCUGUUAAUCACGCUCUAGUCACCAUUACUAUAACAACAAAAGAUUAAAGUAUCAUACCCCAACAAAAAAGAUCAAAAUGUGUAGUCUAUGCGCGAAGACAAAAGAAAAAGAAGGGAGUCUGUCAGACAGCCAUGAGACCAUCUUAGUAUGCCCGAAGACAAAAGAAAAAGAAGGGAGUGUGUCAGACAGCCAUAAGACCAUCUUAGUAUGCCCGAAGAAAAAAGAAAAAAAGGGAGUCUGUCAGACAGCCAUGAGACCAUCUUAGUAUGCCCGAAGACAAAAGAAAAAGAAGGGAGUCUAUGCGCGAAGACAAAAGAAAAAGAAGGGAGUGUGUCAGACAGCCAUGAGACCAUCUUAGUAUGCCCGAAGACAAAAGAAAAAGAAGGGAGUGUGUCAGACAGCCAUGAGACCAUCUUAGUAUGCCCGAAGAAAAAAAAAAAAAGUCUGUCAGACAGCCAUGAGACCAUCUUAGACCCGAGAUCUCAGGUCUAAGAACGAUCAUCUACUGCAUCCACAGCUCGAGGAGCUAUGGAAGGCUGUUAAUCACGCUCUAGUCACCAUUACUAUAACAACAAAAGAUUAAAGUAUCAUACCCCAACAAAAAAGAUCAAAAUGUGUAGUCUAUGCGCGAAGACAAAAGAAAAAGAAGGGAGUGUGUCAGACAGCCAUGAGACCAUCUUAGUAUGCCCGAAGACAAAAGAAAAAGAAGGGAGUGUGUCAGACAGCCAUGAGACCAUCUUAGACCCGAGAUCUCCGGUCUAAGAACGAUCAUCUACUGCAUCCACAGCUCGAGGAGCUAUGGAAGGCUGUUAAUCACGCUCUAGUCACCAUUACUAUAACAACAAAAGAUUAAAGUAUCAUACCCCAACAAAAAAGAUCAAAAUGUGUAGUCUAUGCGCGAAGACAAAAGAAAAAGAAGGGAGUCUGUCAGACAGCCAUGAGACCAUCUUAGUAUGCCCGAAGACAAAAGAAAAAGAAGGGAGUGUGUCAGUCAGCCAUAAGACCAUCUUAGUAUGCCCGAAGAAAAAAGAAAAAAAGGGAGUCUGUCAGACAGCCAUGAGACCAACUUAGACCCAAGAUCUCCAGGUCUAAGAACGAUCAUCUACGGCAUCCACAUCAAGGAGCUAUGGAAGGCUGUUAAUCACGCUCUAGUCACAUGGCCAUGCUUCAUCAACCAGACUUGGAUUCCUGUCUUCUUAGAAUUUAAGAAUACGGUGGUACGAGCCUAUAGAACAGAUCCUGUUCAAGUAAGGUCGU
rnacentral:lncRNA from 1 species